rnacentral:lncRNA from 1 species
GCAAUUGCAUUGAUCCAUUUACAGGAUAUGUGUUUCGCAAUUGCUAUCAAGAAAAAUGGACUAGGAUUUUAACUUUGAUGUGUUUAUAUAAAUGUUCUGGCAUAUAGACCACAAACUAAUUAGUUUAAAUAUUUUAUUAUCAAGAAAAGAAAACCAAACCUAGCAUGUAUGUCAGAAGUAAUGAAGCAUCUUUUGAGAAGCUAAGACUCAAAUUAAGGAAGAAAUUCUACAAACCACACAGAUGUGUAGUUCCUUUUACCAGUUUUAUAUGUUAAAAAUUAUUAGUGACUUUUAAAUGGGUGAAAGAUGCAAUUUGCAAUUGCAUUGAUCCAUUUACAGGAUAUGUGUUUCGCAAUUGCUAUCAAGAAAAAUGGACUAGGAUUUUAACUUUGAUGUGUUUAUAUAAAUGUUCUGGCAUAUAGACCACAAACUAAUUAGUUUAAAUAUUUUAUUAUCAAGAAAAGAAAACCAAACCUAGCAUGUAUGUCAGAAGUAAUGAAGCAUCUUUUGAGAAGCUAAGACUCAAAUUAAGGAAGAAAUUCUACAAACCACACAGAUGUGUAGUUCCUUUUACCAGUUUUAUAUGUUAAAAAUUAUUAGUGACUUUUAAAUGGGUGAAAGAUGCAAUUUGAAGCAACCAUGCUGUCAGUCAUCAGAUAAAAUCAUUGCAAUCAGGUCUAUAUUGACUCCAACAGAACAAAUACAAACUGUGAAGUGACUUUAAAUGCCUAUGCAAGAAAAGAAAUACCUACAACAAUUGAAAUGCAUCCGUGUAUAUAUACUCACCCUUAACCAAAAUUUCACUUAAAGUUCAUAAAUGAAUGGUUAAUAUCAUCCUACCACUUUUUCUCCUUGACUUGAUGAUAGCAUCACUUCCAAAGGAAAAACAAAGCAUUAAUGUAGCUGAUUAGCAGGUAAAGAGACAUGAAUCAUUAUCGUUUUUAUUUAAACUGAAAAGGAAACAAGUAAUCUAUACUUACCUAAAAUUUACGAAGGGUGAGUGGGAGUAUAAAUCACUAUAUUUCAAGAACAUCAGAUAAAAAUAAAAUUUGGAAAACAGAGACAGCUAAGUACAGUGGUCAUAAUAUUACUUUAAGAAUGUGACUCGGAUACAUGGCAAAAAUCAAUAUGCAAAUGAUUUAGCAAGAAAUUUGCAUUUUAAAACUGACUUUUUACAAUCAUGGCUAUUAAGAAUCGGAAAUAAAACCAUUAUUAUAAUCUACAUCUCACAAACACACUAUUGUUAACUAAGUACUUAUUUUUUUACAGAUAAUGGCAAAAAAUAUUUAUAUUGGAAAGAAAACUAACCAAUAAACAAUCAAAAUUCUGUGGGUGUGAUAUCAUGGAAGUCAAAGACACCAUGUGACAUUAUGAUUGUAAAUCACAGCAGAGUGCAGACAUGAUAUCAAAACCUGUAUACGACCUAAUGGUAUACAGUUUGAUACUUUGCCACUUCCAUUCUUCUAAAAUAGAAGUUUUUUAGCACAAGGUGAGUCUGCAUACUGACCAUGCUUCAAGCCCAAAGGGCUCUUAGAUUAGGGGACAUAUUCAAUACAAUUCAUGAAUCUUCAUCAAACAGUGGCAGUGGUAUUUUUUAUUAGUUAUAAAGCCUUUUCAAAAGAAGUCAAGAAGAGCAAAAAAUUAACGGUUCUCUAAAUUGACUUAACAGAGCAAAUAAAUAUAUUGAGCUUGAACAUAUAUAACAGUAAUACGAAAAAAAAACUAAUUUAGUUCAUGUAACUCAAUUCAAAAUAAUAAUUUCGUACAAAAUAUAUUCUUUAUAUAAAAAAGAAUGAAUGAUGUUAAGACAAAUCCGUGGUAAACUUGGUUCCACCCACCAGCAACAGUUAAAAAUCAAACAUUAUAGUGUAAAAUUAAGGCAAGGGCUUUGCAGUUCCUCUUUCAAUUCUGGAUAGAAUAAAUCAUAAAUUAUACAAGUUGUGAACUUGAUACUAAAUUUAGGAAGCUCGGAAACUGUAUAUGACAAUUCUAAACAUGUUUCCCAAUACAAAAUAACAGAUUUUAAUCAACAAAAUUAAGAGGAAAACUUUCAAUAAAAAAGACAUUAACAAGGGCGUGUGAGAGGUAGAAAAAUAUAAACACAAAGCAGACUGUCUGAAUGCUAAUCAUUCACUAUUCAUAUCAAGUCAUAAACAUGAAAAGUAUUUUAAUCAAGAACUUGGUUAUAAAUAGAAAAUAUAUACAUAAUUUUAACUAAUCAUAUCAUAUAAUUUCAUUAUGAUAAUUCCCUUUUACAGUUAACCUCAUCUCGGUAUUUACACAUUCUUUUUUCACAGUAGUCCUCUUCAUAUGAAUUGAAGAGCUCUUCUCUAUUCUUGUCCUUCUUGGGUUUUUCUUUAUCGGAGCCUUAUAAGGAGGGUAUAAAAUAUGUCAAAGAUGCAAGACGAAGUAUAAUAAGGGAAUUAUUAUGACUCGGUAAGAGUCUAAGAAACCAACGGGAAAACUAAAAUGGUGGUAGUGAAGACUUUGUAUCAUAUUUGAACAACAAACAAAUUGAAAGCAAAUUGUGAUACCCUAAACCUAAUGAUGCAUGAUUCAAGUGAUAAUAGAACAUAAUCUUGGUAGCUUGAUGUAAAUUUAUCUGUCGUGAUUAUAUUCUCCAUCGCAGUGUCAUUUGUGUAGUCUCUUCAAUCUUAAGCGCUCACAAAAUAUGAAUCAGACACAUAAGUUAUCAUAUUAGUAAAAUCAUGACCUCGUAUUUUGUUUCAGAACUUCCUCUCACUACAACAAUUUGCUUCUUUCUGUUCCAGGAUACCAAUUUUCUUCCAAUCAAGACACAGUACCCAGGAGCAGAUCGCCUGGCAUUGGGUGAAAUUGGCCCAAUCAGCAUAUAAGUAGCCAACUAUCUCUGAGAAACCAAUUAGCUGAGCAGCCCCUUGUCUUUAUAAAUGACAUAGUUACCUACCGCACUCUUAAUGUACUUCACUGUCUGCAUUAUUAAAUCCCAAUGAUUCUGGCUUGAGAGUUCAAGAAUAGACUCACCACACUUCCUGCAGAGGGAACAUGUGGAUGAACGACUAAGAGAUAAUUCAGAUUUCCAUCAACCUCCUAUGUUUCCCAAGAUUCAAUAAAGGCUCCUAGUUGGGUAGCAGUCUAACAUGUGGAUGAAUGACUAUGAGAUAAUUCAAUUUUCCAAUCAACCUCCUGUAUUUCCCAAGAUUCAAUAAGGGCUCCUCCUAGUUGUGUAACAAUCUAACAUGAGGUUCCAUCUAAGGUUCUACUUAGCAUUCAGUAGAUUGGUUUCUUACAAAAUGUCAAGAAAAAAUUUCCAUAAUAGGUCACCGAAUCAUUCUUGGAUUGUGCAAUUUCGAUACCUAGGAAAUACCUUACCAAGGUCUUUAUUCUAGAAACUAGCACAAGAGGAACUAUUUGAGGUUUUGAAUAUUACACAAACCAAUGUUUAUAAGGAAAAUAUCAUCCACACAGAAAAUAGGAUAAAUGCAUCCCUGAGGUGAAUGGUGAUAGAAGAUAGAGUGAUAGACUUUACUACAAAUAAUACCAAGUUGUUGCACAAAAGUAAGAAAGUGACCAAACUAGAUUGGAGUGGACUAUUUGAGUUCAUAUAGGGACUUGUGAAGCCUGACCAACCAUAGUAGAAGACUUCCCCUAAGAAACAUAAUUUACAAGUUGUUCCAUGUAUGUAAACUUCUUCAUCAAGAUUGUCAUCCAAUAGAGAAUUCUAAAUAAGUACAAUAUAUUAUGUUUCUAUUUUCAAUAAUUGACUUCAAUAUGAUGCAACUAUAGGUAUAUCAUUUCUCUUUUUCUUUUUGGAUUCCAGUAGGUUAGACAAAAAGUAGUACAUUAAUGUGUAGCUACAAUUUUUUAGAGCUCAUGAUAAUCGUUGUAUGAAAAUGAUUUAAGAGUUGGGUGAUAGAACUUGGUAUAUAUUCUUGUGUUGAGACACUGGAAACAGAGGGGAAACUUAAAAAAUUCUAAUAUUAGCUAAGGUGUCUGUUAACACAUAGUAUGAUCUAUCAUUAGGCUUGCUAGACUAACGGUGAACUAUGUCAACCUACAAACUGGUCAUGGGCUUGGAGUGGGUGAUGACACCUAGCUUAGCCAAAACAGCAUCUUCGAUCUUCAACACAAUGGCAAGCUCCUUCAAUGCAACAAAGUCUUUGCCAUCCAUAGGAAGCUCCUUGUACGCCUCCUCAGUUGACUGGUGAAAGCUAAAAAAGUUGGCAUCAUCAACAACGAUAGCAAAGUGGUAAAGAUAUGGGCAGUUUUAUGGUGUGUGAAGUGGUUAUGUCAUUGAGUUCCUCGAGUUAAGAUCUUCGUCAUUGACAUAUAUGGGACUUCUUACAAAGAUAGAGAGUGAAGGAGGAUAAGAGAGUGGCAAACAAAAGCAAAACAACAAUCUAUAGUUUGAAAAGUAGGGAAAAUCAAGACUUGUCAAACAAAUUAUGAGUUUUUCUGUUUUGGAAAUAAUCUCGAAACAUUUAAAAACCAAAAGGUCCAAGAGUGAAAAGAUAGAUCUCUAUAAAUGCUUUUUAGAACGGAGAAGGCAUCCAUGGUAGUUCAUCAAGGCUGCUAUUUUAUUUUGUUGAAGGACCACCAUUGAUUAGUAAUAUGGUAGUCUAUGUAAGUGGAGGGACAAUCUUGUCUCUAUGAACUAUCUUGAGGUUGAGAUAGUAACAAAACAAAGUUUAAGAUAUUUUAAUAUUUUAUAGAACCACAAGCAAUUCUGUUAUUUAAUAUUGCUCUCCAAAAAACAUCUCUUAAAAACUAUUGGCUUCUAGUUUAUUCAUAAUGUCCUACAUCACCAAUUGUGCUGAAUGAAAAAUUCAAAAUACACCCUUACCAUCAAACAAGGUUAGAGUAAAUUAUAGGAUAAACCAAAAUUAACCAUUCCAAGAGAUGCGAAGCAUGUGCGCAUUGUCUUAGGUCAAGCAAGUUAUGAAAAUUCAUGCAAUGUUGAUUAAAUCUAAGUUGAUUUCAAACAUAGGGAUAAGCUUUGCGAAUGAACUUAUUCCAUCUCAGACUCCACUUAUUUACCUACAUAAAAGUACAAAUAUUCUAAAAUGAGAGCAUAUCAAACUAUUUAACAAGAUUUAAUUUCACAAAGUAAUAACAACAAAAACACUUUAAAAUUGAAAUUGGGAAUAAAAAUAAUGAUAUUACGUAAUGGCACACCAUGAAUAAUUGUGUUAUAUUAAAUAUGACUUGAGAAGGCAAAAGUUAACACACCGAAAAUGUGGAAAUUAAACAGCUCACGUACAUCUGCAAACUCAUUACCCUACAUCCCAAAUGUUGUCACAAAAAAAAUAAACACAAAAAUAAAGAUAGAAUAAGAAAGUCAAUUACAAACACACGGUAGAACUACCUGUGACUAACGAAAAGCAUCCAAAAGAAAAUCUUAGACAUCAAUUGAAUUCCAUAGUAGCUUGCUCCAUCACAAAUUUCCACCAAGUUAUUUUCCAUCAACUUGAUGAGAAUUGGACUAGACAUGUCGACUGUAAGGAUAGCUCAUCCUGUCAGCGCCCUUUUUCCUUCAAGGACAAUGCUACAAGAAGCAACAUCGACCAACUCACAAGCUCGAGGAUUAUUAGACUUUUUACCAUGAAACCUACGUAAAACUAAAGGUGAUUAUUUAUACACUGUAGUACCACCGUUGAAACCCAAGGAAGUAUUCCUCAACACAAUACUCAUCCUAGUGAGUGGAUAAAAACUAAAAAGAAAGAAAGAAAAAGCAACCGGGAAACAAAAAAAUAAGGAAUUCGACGGGGCAAAGUUUACAUUUAAAGGAAUUGAAAAGUUAUAUAUAUUAAAAAAUAAAGAAUUAAGGAGAUAGUGCUAAUUAUAUACGUAGUGCGAUGUCAUUUUUUUUAAUGUUCAAACAAUGGAACUCCAAGUCUGAGAUAUAACCAAAGCAACGAACCAACAAAGUAUACUACUGAAUUAUAUAAGACUGUACUAAAAGUUGCAAAAGGAAAAUAGAAUAAUAACACAUCUAUUUAUCAAAAACAGCUAAAGUAGCAUACACCGUACACGUAGGUUCUUAGUUACCUGAGAUCCAAACGCACGUCUCCAUCGAAAGUGACCAUAACUUCACAGAGAUUUAAUAACAUCUCUAACCUACCCUGAGAUGCCGCGAUGAUGCCAAAAACAAAGAAAAACAGUAGUUCUCCUUUCGCUAAAAGUAAUCUAAAAGAGAAGAAAUAUUUGCAACAGUUAGGUUACGGUGCAAUUAAGAUCACCGCUUCUGUUCAGUUCUUCGGUUUUACUUUUACCUGUGUUUUCGCGCGGUUUCUUAGAAACCAAACGGAUUCGGAAGAAAAAAAGUCUUCGCCGAUGUAAGGCGGAAGAGAAACCUCGAAAACUCGUUCCAUGAAAGCGGAAUCCACGAAGCUUCGAGAAGAGCGAAGCGAGGACGGUGAGAGCGUGAAUGCGGUUUGGAAAACGAAUUUUGAUAAGAGAAUCGGACUCCGUGGAUGGAUCGGAAGAAACAAGAAAAGGAAGCAUUGAAGGUUAAAUGCGAGAUCUGUGUGCGUGUGCUUUGGAAGGUUGAAAACUGAACAACAGUGAGUGACCGUACGCAGGGGGAGAGAGAGAGUGAGAGAGAGAAAGAAAUGUGUGAAGGAGGUUUGAGGAGCGAAGGAAAUAUCAAGAGGCACUACAAUAGCUAUUUAUUUGAAUAAGUAAUCGUGGGAGUUGUAGCAUCGUUCCCGACUUUAAUUAUUAGAGCUUUGCAUUCAAUAAAGGAUUGUUGGAGCUUAUGGAAUUAACUAACUUUCUUUUUUUAUAUUGGAAAUGGGUACUCAUGAAUUUUGGUUAAUUUAAUAAAAAAAAUAUAAACUAUUAAAAGUUAUGUCAUCAAACACGAAUUUAAGAAGAAAAAAAAGUUAAAAUCAUGUAAUGGAGAGCCUAUAAAACUCAGACAUUCUUAAAUGACGUGUCGGUGUCGGAUACUCAUAUCGAACAUCAACACUUGUAUGACAUUGUAAAACACGUAUUUGUGAAGUGUCCAAUUCAAAAACUAUUUAUUUAAUUUUUGACAAUUCUAGUACGGUUUUAACACAAUUUAAAAAAAGAAAAAUAUAUUAAUUUUCUAAAAACUCAAACUUAUUGUAUAAAUUUUUAUUAUGAUUACAAAAAUAAGAAAUAAAUCUUUUUGAAUCAGUCAUGAAAAAUAUAUUUCUGCUCCAAAAAAUAAUUUGGAACAUACUUAUGGAUAUAAAUCUUUAUUGUCAAUUUAUAUAAUUCAUAAUUAUAUAAUAUAUAGAUUUGUGUCCCCAUGUCUUAUAUUUUUUAUAUUAUAUGUAUAUUAGUAUUUGUGUCCGUGUUGUUUCUGUGUCCAUGUCAGUGUUUGUGCUAUAUAUAGCACAACUUAUUUAAUCAUUUUAUAAAAUUUUAUUUUAACCACCUAUACUUAUAAUAUAAACUAUUAUAUGUAUAUAUUAACAUUUUUAUUAUAUUAAAAUAAUAAAAUUUCAAAAAAUAUAUAUAAUUUUGUAAUGACAAUAUUAAAAAAAUAUAAUUCAAUAUAUAUAUAUAUAUAUAAUUUUGUAAAAAUAAUGUUAAAAAUGAUUAUUUAAAAAAAUAUUUAGUUAUUUUAAAAUAAAAAUUUGUUUAAUAAUUUAUUUUAUUAAGUAAAAAUGUAUUUCUAAUAACAAAAUGAAGUUACAAUAAUUUUGUAUAAUAGUAUACAUGAAAUAGAAUAGAGCAAACUCAAUUAAAUAUUUUAAUAAUACUUUUUUCUCACUUACUAAUAUGCCGUGCACGAACACACGCCAAAUAAAAUAUGCAUUACAUGUGUUAUUAACAAAAUUAUGAAUUGUUACAUAACUGUAAUUAAAACUUGAGAUUUAAUACACUUUUUAAGACCUUAUUUGAAGGGACUAUAUUAGUGUAUCAUUAAACGAAAAUGCCAAAAAACUUGAAAAUAAUAGUGAUUGGUCUAUUUGAAAAUGCUGUCCAUAUUUAAAAUUUAAAAACGAUAAUUAUUCCAUUACAAAUAUAAUUUAUGUUUAUAGUAAAAUUUAAAAAAUAUUAUAAUCGAAAGAUAGAUUAAUAAUAUUUGAAUGUGUUUUUUGUUGCAUACAGUAGAAGUACUGGAGAACAUUGGUGUAGUAAAUGGGAAGUAGACACGUAGUGGCAUGAGGUCAAAAGCUAAACCUCGUUAUUCGUUUUUAAUCAUUAUUUAAUCAUAUAUAAUUAAGAAUGUAAUUAGUUCAUUAGCUGCCAUGCACUUUGUUCCCGGAGCUUCAAGAACGUACUAGGAGAAAGUUCUUCAUAAAUUAACUAUUUUUUUAUUCUCAUCAAAUACUCUAAAGAUAAAGUUACCUUCACUCUCACUGUUCAGUAGUAUGGGCCUCUAUGGACUUUAUGUUUUUUAUUAGUAAUUUUUAUAUAUUGGUAUUUUGUAUGUAGCGUCUAAUGACAAUAAAUUUUGUUUUACGUUUAUAUCACCUUCUUUAUUAUACGUUUACAUGGUAUCACGAGUCAUAUUUUUUUUUUUUCUCAUUAUGUUAUUCUUCCUCUUUGUCUAUGUGUUCUUUGUUUCUUUUUUAUUAUGUUUUUAGCUUUUUUUUUCUCUUGUUUCUCAAGAUUUCAUACCUACACAACUUCAUACAUUUUUCAUACUUCUUUCCUAAAAACUUGAUGAGAUGAUAAGUUUCUAAUUUGACAACAAUAAUUUUGAUGCAAGAUCCUCUAUUAAGAUUUUUUUUCAUGUUUGUGGCUUGUAACUCACUCGGUUUCUUGAAAACUUGUCUUCACCUCCUUAUUUUUUAAUCGAUAAAAAUUUUGUCAUCAAUAAAGUUAAUAUGGUGUUCAUUCUACACCAACAACAAUAUCAUCUACUAGUUGUAUGACUUCUUGGAUCAAUGGCAACACCCAUUCUAACCAAAAUGGUGGGUUUGCGUACAACAUUUCAAAUCUAUAAUCAACUGCAAGUUUAUUAUGUCUCUCAAACCCGUUCAAGAAUUAAGAAACCCAAGACUCAACUAAAGAUUUUGAAACAUGAAUUGACCCAUAUCUACAUAUCUUCUAAGAAGAUUGUAGACACUUUUGCAACCACAAGCUCGCCCAUUUCCAACAAAGAGCAUCUUAAAGCCAUUUUGGAUGGUUUAUUCUAAAGAUUAUGAAUCCUUCAUUACGCCUGUAACCUUGUGUAUAAACCUCUACAUUGUGGCAGAUAUUGAAGCUUUGCUCCUAGCACAGGAAGAGCGUCCUGGAAAAUAUAAAGAACUACAUCUUAAUCAAGCCAAUCUUGCUUCCACUAAGUCAGUCUAUGUUCUUUCGUCCAAAUCUAUACCUAGUGCAACCUCUUUUCAAAACCAUAGGUAAUGACAUAUUAGUGCUCCUAAUGCAAAACAUUGACAUAAGUCCAUUAAGAAUGAAAUUGAUUCAAUUAAGAAAAAUAAUACUUUGAACUUUAUUAGAGUUUCCUAAAGGAGCAAAAUUCAUUGGUUGUAAGUGAAUCUUUAAGAAAAAAUAUCAUCUUGAUAGAUUCAUAGAAAAAUAUAAGACAAGCGUGGUGAUAAGUAUCAUAAUUCAAUAAUAUUUCAUGCAAAAAGAUAUGCACUUAUAGACUUUAAUUGUUAAUAAAAUUAUAAUUCAACCUUUAAUUUGGAAAUUUGAACCUUUUUACAUAUUUUAGAUUAUGAGAUGAAUAAGAAUGAUUUAUUCACAAGUUUUUGCUAAUUUUAGGAGUCUAGGGGAAGAUGGAGAUAAAAGAGCUAAAGAAAAAUGGACAAGUUAAAGAAAAGAUAAAAAGACAAAGUUAGAACAUUGAAAACUCGCCUAAGCAAUAUCACUCCAAAGGAACUAGCUCAAGGCUCACUUAAGCGAGUUCACUCCAGUGAAGUUGGGCUUUUUCCCGUGAAACUCACUUAAGCAAGCAACAUUUUGCUUGAGUGAGAUGUCACUUAACCCAAACCUAAUUAGGUUAAAUAAAAGUCGUGAGGCAUAACCCUAAACACAAUUGAGAGGAUGAUCAGAGAUAGAAAACCCUAGAGGAGACAAUUGUCAAAGAGAAACACCCUAGAUCUUUUUUUCUUGCUUUUCAUGCUUGUAAUGGCCAAUAUGAGUGGCUAAGUCUUCCCUUUGGAAUUGAGAGUAAUUUGUUUAAACUCUUAUGUAUUGAGGUGAUAUUUAUCUGUAAUAUUAUGUUCUUGAUUGAUGAUUGACAUUAUCAUUUUAUUCUUAAAGUUUGAAUCAUGAUUCAUGAUUUUGAUCCUUAGAUUUGACUGUAAAACACUUCUAAGCAUCUAACCUAAAUGAUAAUGCUUAACAUAUUUGAAUGUUAGGAAUAAAUUUGAAAUGUUAAUUGCUUUAUAACAUUUGUUCGUAAUGAUAAGAUGUUUUUAUAAAUAUGCGAGGAAUCGAUAUUUAGGAAACAAUCUUAAUAAUUUUGUAUGCAAGAAAUCGAUAUGAAUGAUUUUUAUAUGUGCAUCAAUGUCAAUCAAGAUGGAAUGUUAUAUUUUUAUUCAUUGAAAAUACAGACGAGUGAGAAGGAUUAACCUCAAUCCCAAUUUUCUCAAUUGAAUAAUCCAAGUCAUUUACUUUGUUUUUAUUUAAUUUCUUACAAAUUUAUGAUAUAGAAACCUUUCAAACAAACUUUAACACAUUUUUUCAUAUUUAGUGAAUAUUAUACUUGAGAUUUUAGAAUUUUUCCUUGUGGGUUCAGUAUUCGCCCUUAGGAACAAUUUAUUACUUCUGACUCAGUACACUUACCGUAAAAUAAUCAUCACUUAGUAGUGAAUUUUUUUUACUAAAAAGCCCAACAUAAAUUGCUUUUAUAAGUUUUCCUUAAUUACUAAAAUUUCUUCUAUUCGAGUUUUUUUUAGCUUUAGAAUUUAUCCAUGAAUGAGUUAUUCACCAAAUAAUGAGUGUUAAUAUAGUCUUUCUGAAUGAUGAACCAAAGGAAGAAAUCUAUGACUCAACAUGAAGGUUGUGUAGUUCCUAAUCAUGAGAAAAUAUACAAACUUUUAAAAUAUUUAUGUGGACUAAAAUAUGCACCAAAACAAUGACAUGACAAACUUGAUAAUGUUCUACAUUGUGAUGGUUUUUCUACUAAUGAUGUUGAUAAAUGAGUGUACACUAAAUUUGAAAAUGGUGAAUGUGUCAUUAUGUGUUUAUAUGUUUAUGGCAUGCUAAUUUUUGGUACAUGCAAUAAUAUAGUUUCUCAAACAAUUAUUUUUUGGAUAAGAGUUUGAAAUGAAAGACAUGAGUGAAACAAAGUGAUUUUAGGAGUUAUAGUCAUAAGAAAGGGAAAUAGUAUAUUACUAAUACCAAUAACAAUAUAUCAAAAAACUUCUUAGGAAGUUUGACUAUUAUGACUUUAAACCAAUAAGCACCCAAAAUGAUGCUAACAUUAUCUUUAAAGAAAACCAAAGGAGAAUAUAUUUCUCAACCUCGAUAUGGCUAGGUAAUUGAAAGCUUAUUAUUUUUAUUGAGUUUUUUAAGAUCGGAUUUUGCUUAUACAGUAGGUACACUCAAUGUAGUCAACAAUGAAGUGAGAGUUUGUUGCUCUUGAAAUGGUUGGAAAUGAAGUUGAGUGGUUGAAAAACUUCUUAGCAAACAUUCCAUUAGGAAUGAAACUAACUUCAUUUGUGUCAAUGCAUUGUGGUUUCUAAUCGACAAUAGUCAUAACUGAAAACAAAACUUACAAUGGAAAGAACAAACAUAUACAAUUGAGACAAAAUUUGAUAAAGUAGUUGCCAAAUAGGAAAACAGUUUCCAUUCACUAUGUUAAGUCAUGACAAAAUUUAGUAGAUCCUCUAAUGAAACCCCUAGGGAGAAACACGAUUUUAGAAACAUCAAGGGGAAUGAGACUCAAGCCACUUGCAAACAAACAAGUGAUGGAAACCCAAUAUUUGUGAUUGGUGAUCCCAUAAAUAAGGUUCAUAUAGGUAAAAACAAAUUAUUUGUUAGUUUUGCUAGCACUAAAAUUGAUUUUAAUUCAAAUUUGUACAUUAUUACGACAUGUGAAAGUGCUAGAUACUACAUUAUUGAGAGGGUGAACUUUUUGAUUAAGUUCUAUGUGGUAUAAUGAAUUUUAACUUCUAAUUUUUUUUUAAAGAUUUUCAUAUCCCUUUUGAGUUGUGUAUGAUAUGCAGUAUACACUUGAUGAAAUCACCUAUAUGAAUGUCGAGUGGGGUCACUUGCAUAAGAUAUUGGCAAGAUCUCUAGAGCACUUAUGAAUAUUGGGCACGAGCAUGACCUAAUAAGCUCAACACAACAAUAAUAAGAAUAGUGGGGGUGUAUUGUGAUUGAUAAAAUGCUAACACACACUAAGUGUUUGAUUCAUAUACCUUGUUAUACCAACUACAUUGUGUGUUAAGUUUCUCAAAUCUAGAAUUGGUUCAUAUAGUUUGUUACACCAACUUUAAUGCAUUACAUCUUAUAUGAAACCCAUGAUUUUUCUUCUUUUUUUCUUUAUAUAUCUUGUCUUUUGCAAUAUGCGGGGAUUGUUGUGAAAAUAAAAUAUUUUGAAAAGAUCCGCAACUGAUUUGCUCGUGCCCCUCCUUUUCAACGAUUCACUCUACAACUGAUUUGCAACGUAUCAUUCCUAUAAUUCAAUUCACUCCACAAAUGUUGAUUUAUAUUCUGAAGAAAAAAAAAAAAACACACUCAAAUGUUUAGUUCCUUAUCCGCAGGUCACAGGGUUCCUUUGUAAGUCAUUGAACUUUUGCAGGUCAUGGGGACUAUGACUUUAUCCUCCCCCUGUAAAAAGGUGUUUCUACUCCUUUCCAAAACACAUAUUCAUUUACUCUCCUAUCUUAUCUUGACUUCUCUUCUCCUGGAUUAUUUGCUCUUACGAGCUUGCUUACUAGUUUUGAGUUCCUCGAUACCAUCUAAUUUUUUUUUUUUUGUAUUUUAGAGGACUUGUGUAACACACCGUAUAGAUGAUUUACGCCUCAAAAGAUUGAAAUUGUUCUUAUUGCUAGUUAAUCUUUACUACAUAGAUGUUGGUUUCAUGUGGUGGCUUGGGAAGGUUCACAGUCACAUUAUGUAAUGAUUAUAGGAGAUUCUCAAUAGUUUAUAGAAGAGGCAUUACAUCACCAACCCUACCUCUUUCAUUUGUCUUGAUUUAUUUUCAUUUUAUCAUAUUUCAAUGAUUUUCGCUAUAAGGUUUUUUAUAAAAAAAAAAUUAAAGCUAAUUUCUAAAAACUUUUUAUAUAUUUUUUUCAAACUUUUAUUUGUAAUUUAUAUGUAAACUAAAUUUAAAUUAUUUAAAAAUUUCAUUUUUUCAUAUGUUUUCUUACAUGAGUCCUUCAAUAGAUAUUCCUCCCACAGACCCAAAUUCAGAUUUAGAUGACUAAUUAUUAGAAGAAAAAAAGUGCAGUUUUGGGACUUGAUUUCUUGGAUUAAUAGCAUGAAUUAUCUCAUAUUUUUUUCUCCUAUCUGCUAAUUCAAACACUAAUGCAAGAAGAUUUCUCCAUAAAAUCUCACUAAUUUAUCUUGUUGUAAUAUUUAUUUAUAUUUAUUUAAUGUGUGUUGCGGUAUAAAUUUGUGUGAUGAUUGUCAUGGUUAAUCUCGAUUGUUUUUUGUUGUAAUACGAUCAACGAAACAAAGAGGAAGAAUCCUAAGAUGGUGUCGCGAGAGUGGAAUGGAGAAGGAACCGGUGAAGAUGAAAAUCAAGAAGAAAGGCACAUAAACCUUAAUCGUGAGCAAGAGAGAGAACAAAUAAAAGAUUAAGAAAAAGCGUAAAUAGAUAAUACAAAAAAGGCAUAAAAUGAGAAACUGAAUUUCGUAAAAUGAAUAUGUAUGUUACAUAAAGUAAAAACGGAUGUCUAAUUAUAAAGCAAUAAAGGGAAAAAGUAAAUAGAUUACAAAGCCCAAUAGGAUUUUAUCACCCCCCUCCCCCCCCCCCCCCCCCUCCAAUCCGGGAAUAUAUAUUUCUCCUUCCCAGCUUAGACUUGAGCUCUUUGUAGAUUACAAGUGCAAAAGGCUUGAUGAGAAUGUCAACAAUCUGUAUAGAGGAAGAGAUGAGGAGUAACUUGAGAAGGGCAAUUGUAAUAUUUUCUCGAAUGAUGUGACAAUCAAUCUCAAUAUGCUUAAUACGCUCAUGAAAGACUUGGUUAGAAGCAAUUUGUAUUGCAGAUUGGUUGUCACAAUGGUUGAUUGUAGAGAAUCCCAAGUUCUUCAAGAAUGUAGGUCAACCACUGGAUUUCACAAGUUUUUGAGGCUAAGGCUCUAUAUUCUGCUUUAGAGGAACUUUUAGAGGUCGUCUGUUGUUUUUUCGAUUUCCAUGAAAUUAGAGACUCUCCCAAGAAGAUAAAGUAACCAGUUACAAAUUUUGGGUUUCAGAACAUGUGCCCCAAUUGAGUCACUAAAACCACAAAAUUGAGUAACACUGUUGUUGUGAAAGAAAAUGUCAUUCCCGAGAAUGCCUUUCAAAUAACGAAGAAGAUAAAAAAAAAACAACUUGUUGAUGGAGGGUGAUAGGAGAGAAGAUAAUGAAGUUGUUGAUAGCAAAAGUGAUAUCAGGUUGUGUGUUGGUGAGGUAGAUGAGUUUGUCAAUAAGUCUUAUAUAUGUGGAAGAGUUUGCUUCAUUGAGCUUUGUACCCUCUGAGGAUGAAAGCCAAGAUGAGUGAACAAUAGGUGUGGGCAUGGGGGCAAAGUUCAUCAUGUCGAUUUCGUGGAGAAGGUCCAAAACAUAUUUGCAUUGACAGAUCUUGGCUGUUUCAGGCUAUUUCCAAGCCCAAGCAAUAAGUAAGAUCUCCUAAAUUCUUGAUCUUGAAAUGAAUGUCCAGUAAGGAUGUAAUGUGAUUGAUUUCCUCAUGAUCAUUUCCAGUGAGCACUAGAUCAUCAACAUACACAAGAAUGAUUGUUAUGUUAAUUCCAUUACGACUUAAAAAAAAGUGAUAUGCAUAUGAUAAAGUGUAUUUAUUUGAAAGGAGAAAGUUAGAUAGUUUAUCAUACCAUUAGCGACCAACUUGACGGAGGUCGUAUAAUGAUCUUUGUAAUUUGCAGACAUGUUGAGAGAGGGAAGAUUGGGGUCAGGAGGUGGUUGCAUGUAGACUUCCUCAAAGAGAUCACCAUGUAAGAAGGCAUUGUUCAUAUCAAUUUGUUUAAGAAUCCAGUUUUGAGAAGUUGCAACCACAAGCAAAAGUCUUAAGGUGGUUAGUUUUGUUACAUGAGAAAAAGUGUCUAAGAAAUCAAGCCCUUCCAAUUGAGUGUAUCUUUUGGCUAUCAAACAUGCUUUGUGACAAUCUAUAGUGCCAUCAGAUUUGUGUUUCACUUCAGAAACCCAUUUACUGCAAAUAGUCUUCUUCCCUAGGAAAGAUGAGUAAUCUGCUAGGUAUUGUUAGCAUUAAGAGCAUUGAUCUUUUCUUGCAUUGCUUGUUUCUAACAAGCAUUCUUGGAAGCCUCAUUAUAAGAACGAGGAUCACUAGUAGAGGGUAUAGAGAGAAUAGUAUUUUUGAAUGAAGGUGAAAGAACAUAAUGAGAAAUUAAUUUAUGAAUUGGAUAUCGACUAUUUAUAGUGUUUGCAGUGGGUAAACUACACUGAAAAUCCUCUAGAUAAGCAAGUGUUCAUCUUUCUCUUCUGGAGCGUCUUAGUAGAGUGUUGUCUUCAUUUUGAAUGGUAGUAUCCACAUUCUCAAGAUUUGGAAUUUCAUAAUCAAACACAUCAUCACAGUGUAUAUUAUAGUUAGUAGGAAUGGGUAAAGAUAGAUUGUUGGUGCUCCAUGUAUCAUCAUUGUUCAAUUUGUAUGGAAAAUGAUGUUCAUGAAAGAUCACAUGUCUUGAAAUCUCAAUACGGUGAUAUUUUAAAUUUAAAAGAAUAUAACCUUUGAUAUUGUGUGGAAAAUCGAGAAAAAUACCAUGAAGAGAUCUUGCAUCUAAUUUCUUUUUAUUAGCAUUAAUGGUACUAUAAUAAUAAGAACAUCCAAAAACAUGUAAAAAAGAUAUAUCACAAGGUUUUCCAAACAAAUUUUCAUAAGGAGCAAUAUUUUGCAAUAAAGGAGUAGGUGUAUAGUUAAUGAGAAAAAUGGCAUGUUGAAUAACAAAGUCCAAAAAAAUAAGAGGUAAAUUUACUUGAAUCAGUAAAGCACGAGUGGUAUUUAAAAUGUGUUGGUGUUUAUGUUCAGUUAUACCAUUUUGUUGAGGUGUUUCUACGCAAGAGGUUUGAUGAAUUAUGCCUUUUGAAGCAAAAAAAAUUCAUAGCAAAUUCAACCCUAUUAUCAGAACAGAUACUUUUAACUUUAGUAUUAAAUUGAUUUUCAGUGUAAGCAAGAAAAUUAAUAAGAUGAUUGUGACUUCAUAUUUGGUAUGCAAUAGUAUAGUCCAUGUAUAACGAGAGAAAUCAUCAACAAUUGUAAAAAAAUAAUGAAAACCUUGCAUAGAUGUAAAAAAACAAGGAUCUCAAAUAUCAACAUGAAUAAGGUCAAACAUAGCAGUAGUGUGAGAAGUACUUAAAGCAAAAGGAAGUUUUCGUUGUUUUGCAUGAUUACAAAUAUCACACAUAUGAGUCUUUUCAGUAGAAAUAAAAAAAAUAUUGAUUUUUCAAGACAUGCAACCUUUCAUCAGAAGCGUGCCCCAUUCGAUGAUGUCAUAGAUUAGUGUCCUUAACAGUGCAAUAGACAGAAGGAACAAAAUUUUGUGUGGUAGUUUGAAAAAUAGAAGAGUCAAAGAUAUACAUACCAACUUUGGCAUUAACUAAACCAAUCUUCUUUUUGGAGAGGUUGUCCUUUAUCAGACAGUGUGUGGGAGAAAAAAUUAAGUUACAAUUUAGGUGCAAAGACAAUUUAGAAGUUGAAAUGAGGUUACAGGUAAAUUGAGGAAUAUACAAAACAUCAAGAAGAUAAAAUUUAUUAUUGAAAAUAAUUAUCUCAAAGUAAUUUGCAAAAACAUGUUGGCCAUUUGGUAAAUUGAUAAGAAUAAGUUUUAUACUUUUAUAAGGGUUGAAAGCAUAUAGAAGAAUAUAUACAUGAUCAGUGGCGCCAAAAUCAACAAUCCAAUUUUUUUUGAGUAUGAUGUAAGGAGUUUAAAGAAUUCUUACCCGUUGAAGAUGGCUCAUGUGCUUUGGGAUCUACAGAAAAGAGCCCACUUGAUUCACUUGAACAGUAUUGACUGCAAUGCCACUGUUAUUCUGUCUUAAAACAUCAGUACGAAUCUAAUAUUGAUGAGUUGUGAGAUAGUCACGAUUUUCCUUCUUUUAUUGACAAAUCUCAAAGAAUGUCAUUAGUAACAACCAAAUUAUUAACCUGAUUAGCCCUACUGUUGUUAUAAAAUUUGUACCCCAAGAGGGUAUCCAUGUUUCUUGUAACAGGUAUCCACAUUAUGACCAUUUAUGUUACAGUAAGUGCACACCUUUUUAGUGUUGUUGAAUUUAGUGUUUCUAUUAUCUUGACUAGGGAACCCGACCUAUUUAAAACAAACAUUUUCUGUAUGCCCAUAUUUACCACAAAAAUUACACAAUAUGGAGGUGGUGAUCCGAUUGGAACUAGCACUAUUGAUAUUGGAAAUAUUUACAGAGAUGUUAUUUGUUAAUUGUUUUUCUUGUUGUGAAACGAGAGAAUUUUUUUUUGGUAUAGGUGGGAUGAAUUCCAUGAGUAAAACAUUGACCUUAUAUUACUGUAUUGAUUAUUCAAGCCUCUCAAAAAUUUCAUAAAAUGAUCUUCACAUUUCCUUUGGCUUAUAAUACAACUAUCAGAGUAAGAACAUUUAACAAAACAUGUGCAUAUAGGGAUAGACCUAAAAUUAUCUAACUUUUCCCAAAUGAUCCUUAAUUUUGUGAAUUACUCAGUCACAGACAAAUCCCCCUGAUUUAAAGAAGCUACCUCAAGUUGAAGAUUAUAAAUUCUAGAUAAGUCACCUUGAGAGUAUCUGGUUUUCAAAUCAUUCCAGAUAUCCAUGACAACAUCCAUCCAAAUAAUAAUUUGCCGAAUAGGGACAGAGACAAACUGUGUUAACCAUGAAACCACCAUAUUAUUACAUAUAUUCCAAGUUGAGAAAUUUGAAUGAUCUUCUGUUGGCCAAGAGUUUGUUCUGAGGAUAAACUCUACUUUGUUUUUGGCAUUCAAGGUUGUCAUGAUCGAACGAAUCUAAGAGUGAUAGUUGGAUGAAUCCAACACUGGUGAACAAGCGACGCAACAUGGUUUUUACUUAUGUGAAGAUACAUAUAGCUACUUGUCAAUUGAUCGUUUGAGAAGAUGAAGUGGUGCGUUCAUCCGCCAUUGCUGCAAGAAGAGAAACACAACAAAUAUUCAAGAAAAUAACAAUAGCAAAAUAGAAAAGAAAAGAAAGAUACGGAGUGCAUUGUAGAGCUCUUCUUGAAGAGCUAUGAUACCAUAAUAUGAUCAAUGACACAAGAGGAAGAACCCUAAAAAGGCGUCACAAGAGUAGAGUGGAGAAGGAACCAAUGGAGAUGAGAAUCAAGAAGCAAGGCAAAGAAACCCUAUCGUGAAGAGAGAGAACAGAGAAAAGAUGAAGAAGGAGUGUAAACAUAGAAUACAAAAAGGGCACAAAAUGAGAAACUGAAAUUCUUAAAAUGAAUAUGUGUGUUACAGAAAGUAAAAGCGGAGGUGUACUUAUAAAGCAAUAAAGGAAAAAAGUAAAACAAAUUACAAAACCCAAUACAAGGCCCAAUUAUAACCUAAAUAAGGAUUUUAUCGUGUUAAUUAAAUAAUGUUUCUGCCACAUAUUAAGUUUAUAACAGGUGAAAUUAUUUUUAAUUCAUGGUUGAAAUUAAAAUGUGACUUAAUUAAAAAAAAAAUCAAAACUUAUUGGUUUGAUGGAGUAUAAUACUCCCCCUUGCUACUUUGUAAAUGUAAGUGAAGAAAAUCUUUUCCAAAUACUUGGUUUUGCUUAAUUUUUUUUACCACAAAGCCUUUUCUAUCUACAUGCGCUUAUACUAGAGCAAAAUUAUAUGUUAUAUAGUACAAUACAUACCCAAAUGUGGCAUUUUAAGGGAUUCAUCUAUAAGUGCCUUCAUUAAUAAUUUAAAACUUUUUGUUUGGUAUGUAUUGUAUCAUUCAUUAUUCCUUCCAACAAGUAAAAAGAUUAAUAGUAUUUCUUAAAUAUUGAUAAACAUAUUUGAAAGAAAAACACAUGUAUGAAUAAAGAUAUACAUAUUUAAUUUGGUUUUGUAAAAUAUUAGUAAACAUUUUUAAAGGAAACACGUCUCUCAUUAAAUAUGCACGCAUUUAAAAUUUUAGUUCUCUUAAAAGAUGACUCUUUAUCACCUUUUUGAAAGGAAUUUACAUUUGAAUUCAAAUAUACAAGAAUUAAACUUGUUCAAUUAAUAAAAAAAAUUAAAUUUAAUGUCCAUAAUAGGUCACUCAAAGAAAAAGAUUAACGGUAAAUAAAAAUGCAAAAAAUAUUACUAGAAGAUAUUAAAUUUAAAUUUAUUUAAGUGUAUAGUAUAAUUUAAUUAAAUAUGAUAUCAACACGAAAAGGAAAGGGUCAACCAACCAUUCAUAUUACUGAAAAAAAUAUUAUGUUAGAGUGGUGGCAGAAAAUGUUUAAAAGGGUGAAACUUGAGUGUUUGAAAACUUCAAAACUUUUAUUAAUUGGUUACCAGAUCAAGUUAAUACACAAAUAAAGUAUGUUCUUAAAUUACAUAUGUGUUUUUAUUAAUAGCAAAGAUUAUUUGUAUAUCAAUUUGUAAUUUGUAUUUUUUUUUUAUUAGGACACUUAGGAUCUAGCAAAUAUAUUUUCCUAAUUUUUUAACUUGACUUGAGAAUUUUCCAUGGUCAUUUUUAGUUACAGUGGAUAUUUCCCUAUUAGGGAUCAUAAAUAAGAACAUGUUAUUGUACAUAAAUUAUAAUAAUGUGCUGAGAAUUGUUUCAAACAACCUAUAUAAUUUUCAUCUUAAAGUUAUGGAGUAUCUAAGUACAUACUUUCCUCCUUUAAACUUUAGUACAAAAUUUAAUAUCUUUCUUUUCUUUCAGGACAGAAAUCUUUUACUAGGUUCUACAUGUUUUGACUAUAACAUAUGAUUCUAACAAUGUCUUUGGAUUUCAUUAGACACAAUUCAUCAAAAAGUUCUUAUAAAAUGAAUGCAUUAAACAAUGGAUGCAAGAUUUUAUCAAUGACAUUUUUCUUGGACCAUACUACCAUAAGUAAGUCGUCACUUAUUAGUACAUUAAAUGUAUUUUUUUUUCUCAAUCUAAUAUGUUGUUUUUGUCAGUCUAAUAUAAGGAUGAUCAAUCAUUCGCAUUGAUUAAGCCAAUUGACAUCAAGGUAUAAUGAUUUUACAUAAUGAUGAUGAUAAUGUCAUUUUUUUAUUCAUAAUGUAUUAUAAAAUUUAUAUUUUGUUUCCUACGAAAGAAUGUCAAUUAUGAAUAAAUUGUAAAAUAUACACACAUAUAUAUGCAAUAUACAUAUAUUGAUAAUUACGUGUCUGUGUAGAUAAAUGUGUGAAUGCCAUGUUUUGUUAUCUUCAUUCAACUGGAAGGGCUUGUAUAUUAUGUUACCUUUGAUAUAUAUAUAAGAAAUAGUGUAAGUAGAACAAUAACCUAUGUGUCACACAUAAAUAAAACGAACAAUACCUGAUUUUGUGAUAACAAAAUAUCUUUAUAAACAACAUUUUUUGUAAAAUUUCCAUCUUCUCCCUCAAGGUGUCCUUCUUUAAUAAGAAUUUUUGUUGAAGCUUGAGAAACACCUCUUGAUAGUGCAACAUAUAAUUGACCGUGACUAAAAACGUGCCGUGUAAGGUAAAUUCCAACAUUAGGUAUAGUUUGCCCCUGUGAUUUAUUUAUAGUAAUGGCAAAACUUAAUUUCACAGGAAAUUGUUUCCUAAUAAGCACAAAUGGGAGACCUGCACUUUCUGUUGUUUUAUGUUUAAUUCUUGGUAAGAAAGGUCUUUUUCCAGCAUGUUGACCUGUCAAGUUUUCAACAUCCAACAUGUUCAUGUAGAACCCACGACACAAUAAUCUCGUCCCAUUACAUAACCCAGAUUUAGGGUCUAUGUUUCUCAACAACAUUAAUGGUGCACCUUUUUUAAGCUUUAAAAUAUGAGGUGGCAAGCCACCUGGAGCAAUGGAGUGCAAGUACUCUUGUUGGUAUAGACUAUGUGUGUCUCCUUCAACUUCAUCAAAUGACAAUAGAUUAUGUUGUUCUCUUGGAAAAUGAUCGAUAAUCAUGUUAUUGAGUAUUUGAACAUCUUCAUUUUUUGGAGUCAAUAUGGCUCUCUGAACCAUAUAAGAUGCAUCCCAUGUAUGAAAUUGCAAUUGGGGAAAUGUUUCUUGAAUAAGUUUUUUGUAUUGAACUUUCUCCUUCCCAUGGUAUUGCUAGUUCAUGGGGUAUUUUCACCAUAUCAUCAAGAAUUGUAGGUUUAAUCCCAUCUCCAAUGCGCAUGAGGUAUUCUGCAAAAUUGUGAUCUUGCAAUGAUCGCAUGUUUUGUUGUAAAUGCAAUACCUUUGUGUUACUCCAUAAAGGAGACUUAACAAUACAUGCAGAAAUCAUUUGUGCCUUUGUACCCUUUUGAACAACUGGUAGUACCUGGCGAAAAUCUCCUCCUAAUAUCAUCACUUUCCCCCCAAAUGGAGCAUCACAAUCUAGAAUGUCCUUUAAUGAUCUAUCUAAUGCCUCUAAAGCAUAUCUAUUAGUCAUUGGUGCUUCAUCCCAAAUAAUUGCAGUUGUUUAUCUUAGUAGCUUUGCAAGAUCAGAUUGUUUGCUUAUUGAACCAAAGGAACCAACUUCUACAUUAAUAGGUAUCUUAAAUCGAGAAUGUGCAGUUCGACCACUAGUAAUAAUGUUGCAGCUAUACCAGAGAAGGUUGUAGCUAAAAUAAUUUUUCCUUUACUUUUAUAAUAUGCAAUUAAUGUACGGUAAAGGAAUGUUUUAUCGGUUCCUCCUGGUCCAUCCACAAAAAAUACUUGACUUUGCUUACGAUGAAUUACAUCUAAAAUGGUAUUGAAAACGAUCAACUGAUUAGUAUUCAAUCUCUGUACAUUGUCAACAUCUUCAUUAGGGAUUUGUAUUGAUAACUCUUCUUGUAUAAUUCUUGGUACUGAAGUAUUUUCAAAUGCAUCCAAUGUUAAUGCUGGUAAAUCAAAAUCAUUGAUUGUUUUACCAUGUUGAAUAAGAAGUUCAUUCAAAUCCCUUAAUAGCAUAUUAACGUUGAUGCCCAUAGAAGUGCUUCUUAAAGUAUAAUCUUCUGCCAUAAAGAUAUAAAACUCAUUCCAGAGACUUCGAACAUCAGUUGGUUCACAACAAAUUAAUAUGGUCACAAACAACCAACUUAAAGCAUAAGGCAUCUGUAAACUUGAUGCUUCAAUUUGAUUUCUACUCUUCAUCUUUUGUAUUUAUAUUUUUGAUUUUGUUGUGUAAUGUAUUAAAAUAUAGAAAAAUAAUAAACAUUAGAAAAAUUAUUUAAAAAAUUCUAAAAUAUAAAUCAAAACUAAAAGCAAACAAAUUAUAAAAACACUGUUGCAAACAAAUAAAGAAAACCAAGAAUCAGUAAUGCAAUGCAAACAUACAUACAACAAGAAAAAAAAUUAGUAUGUGACAGAAAAUAGAUAGCUAAAUUAAAAAUAUUUUCAGAAAAUAUUUUACAAAAUGUGAAAAUAAAUAUAUAAAAUAUGAUAAUAUUUAAAAAACACUUUUAUGUAUAUAUUAAAUAUUGUUUAUGUAAAUGAAAAAAUAUAAUUAAAAAAUAUCUUCAUAAAAUAAUUCGCAAAAUGUAAAAAUAAAUAUAUAAAUAUAUGAUAAUAUUUUAAAAAACAUUUUCAUCAAUAUAUUAUUUAAAAAAGUAGCGUAAAAAAAUAUCUUUAGAAAAUAUUUUUCAAAAUGUGAAAAUAANNNNNNNNNNNNNNNNNNNNNNNNNNNNNNNNNNNNNNNNNNNNNNNNNNNNNNNNNNNNNNNNNNNNNNNNNNNNNNNNNNNNNNNNNNNNNNNNNNNNNNNNNNNNNNNNNNNNNNNNNNNNNNNNNNNNNNNNNNNNNNNNNNNNNNNNNNNNNNNNNNNNNNNNNNNNNNNNNNNNNNNNNNNNNNNNNNNNNNNNNNNNNNNNNNNNNNNNNNNNNNNNNNNNNNNNNNNNNNNNNNNNNNNNNNNNNNNNNNNNNNNNNNNNNNNNNNNNNNNNNNNNNNNNNNNNNNNNNNNNNNNNNNNNNNNNNNNNNNNNNNNNNNNNNNNNNNNNNNNNNNNNNNNNNNNNNNNNNNNNNNNNNNNNNNNNNNNNNNNNNNNNNNNNNNNNNNNNNNNNNNNNNNNNNNNNNNNNNNNNNNNNNNNNNNNNNNNNNNNNNNNNNNNNNNNNNNNNNNNNNNNNNNNNNNNNNNNNNNNNNNNNNNNNNNNNNNNNNNNNNNNNNNNNNNNNNNNNNNNNNNNNNNNNNNNNNNNNNNNNNNNNNNNNNNNNNNNNNNNNNNNNNNNNNNNNNNNNNNNNNNNNNNNNNNNNNNNNNNNNNNNNNNNNNNNNNNNNNNNNNNNNNNNNNNNNNNNNNNNNNNNNNNNNNNNNNNNNNNNNNNNNNNNNNNNNNNNNNNNNNNNNNNNNNNNNNNNNNNNNNNNNNNNNNNNNNNNNNNNNNNNNNNNNNNNNNNNNNNNNNNNNNNNNNNNNNNNNNNNNNNNNNNNNNNNNNNAGUAAAUUUUGAAUUUAAUUUUAAAUAUUAAAUUUUAAAUUUUAAAUUACCUAUAUAUAGGGGAUCUCCUCUUAACUACCAUUUUAAAUUUAAAAUUUUGAAUUUUGAAUAUAUAAUUUUUAAUUUCGUAUACGUUUUAUGUGUUAAUACUAACUAAUACUAAUAUAUUAAUUAAUACAAUAACUCACCAAAUAGGGGUUAAGAAAAUCAUUGUAACCCUAAUAAACAAUUUUCGAAUUCUAAGGAACAAACCAUAAUCCCUGCAACUCACCCAUCACUACAAUGCCUUUGGAUGAAAACUUCCUAUAUGUUUUCUCAUAUAGUAAUCCCUCUCAUUGGUAUAGUUUUUUCUGGUACUUAAUUUCUCUUCCAAUUUUUUAAUAGUUCUAUUUGUUUGUUUGAGCACACUAAUUAUAAUAUUGUCAUCAUAUAAUGCCAAAGACAUUCAUAAAUGAAUAAUCAAUAAAAGUAAAAUCAAAAUAUAUACUUUAUAGUUGAAAAACAACACUUGCGGAUUGAACGGAAGUGGUGGUUCUGGAACGGUUUGGGAGAAAAAUAUGAUAUAAAUUUUGAUGGAAUAAAAAUGAAGAUGAUCCGGAGAAAAAAAUGAUAGAAAGUUUGAUGGGAUAAAAGUGAAUAUGAACAGGAGAAAAAGAUGAUAAAAAGUUUAAUGAAAAGGAGAAAAAGAUGAUAAAAAGUUUAAUUAAAAGGAGAAAAAAAUGAUAGAAAGUUUGAUGGGAUAAAAGUGGAAGAUGAAUUGGAAAAAAAGAUGCAACUGUAGAAUGUUUAAACUCUUUGAGAUAUAAAAUUUGAACUCUUUACAAAAUGACAAAUAAAAUAGUAAGAUAUAAAGAUAAAAUUAAAAUAAAAUAAGAUGGUAGUUAAGAGGUGAAUCCCUAUAGAUUAAUAUGAAUAGAAUAUUUAAAUGAAAUAAAAGUUUUGAUAUUUACUUUUUCUAUCGUCUUUUUUAUAGUAACCGAUCUAUUUCAAGUAAUAAGUAAUAAGAGGUGUUUUAUUAAUAACUAUUAUUAGAAAAUAUAUUCUAUUACCUUGACCUAACAUGUCGUGUGAAUUUUUUAAAAAAUUUAAAAAUUACGGUUUGGUUUGAAUUUCAAUAAAAGUUUGAUAUUUAUAUUUGCAAACAUAUUGGAGAAUAUGAAAAAUAAAGUAAGAUAUAUUUUUACAUUUAGAAUUUAAAAGCAUAUAUUUUUAAUUUUACUAAUGAAUUAAUUAAAUGAGAUCUAAAAUAGCCACAAUUUAAAAAACGUGCUAAUAAAAUUUUAAUAACCAUUACUUAUAUUAAAUAUAAUUUAAAAUAUUCAAAAUUAAAAGAUCAACAAUUUUAUUAUAGAUUAUUAUAGAUAAUCUAACGGUUUUAUAAACAUUGUAAAAUCGUUGUUAUUUUAAUAUUCAGACAAUAAUUAUAUACAUAUAUGACCUACUAAAAUAAAAAAAAUUGUAUAAUAAAUUAUAAAAUAUUUAUUUUAAUUAUAUUUUAUAUUCAUGUUGAAGUACCAAUGAUUAUUUAUUAAUAUUCUGGUCUUUAAUGUUGCGAAUAAGUAUAGUAUAUUAGGUAGACAUCACAUUAAUCGAUGGUAGAAUAGAUCUUCCUUAAAGUAAUAAUAAUUAUUCAUUACGAAUUUACACACACAUUUUUGUCAUGUAACUAAAGGUUAAUUUUGUUGCAUUACAAUAAACAAGAAGAUAAUAUAGUCAUUACAAUAGACGAGAAGAUAAUAGAAGUAUAUAAUUAGAUGUGAAUAAUAAUCAUAGGUCAUCAACAAAUGUUUAGUUACAAAUAAAAUUUGGAGAACUUUUUUUUUAAAAUAAAGUUAAAUUAAAUUUAUAUAUUUGAAAAUUUUCAACUAUUUCUUCUAAACAUAAUUCAAAAAACAUAUCACCAAUUUGGAAGUAUAUUUUUUAAACUUUAAUAUUUUUAAAAAUAUUGUAAUAGAAUACAUUUCAUUUAUAAAUUACAUAAUAAUAAAAUAAUAUAUAUAUAUAUACAUAUAUAUAUAUAUAUUUUGUGUGUGUAUGCAUAUGUGUUGCUAUGAUACAAUAGUUAUAUUGGAUUUUUUUAUAGGGAUGUUAAAGCGGGGCAAUCACGAUUCACUGAGAAAAAUUGCGAGACGAUCUGUCUAUUCCAAUCCACUAGUCUGUUUAGACCCAUUCCCCGUAAUUUGUAGUUCAUACGGGCUAAGUAGGAGACAGGGUGGGUUAGAUCGUAUAUCUUAAAAGUCUAGAAAUAUAUUUUUGCACUCUCAUAAUUUCUUCAUACAAUCUCAUAUUGUCAAAAAUUCAAAAAUUAUUUAUUCUAAAUUUUACAAUCUAAAAUACAAAUUUGUAUUUAGAAUUGUUUAAUAUGAAAUAUUGUACCAUCCAAAACACAAAUUUUAACUUAUAGGUUCUAUAAUUCUGAAAGUCUUUGUAUUCCAAAUUUUGAAAUUAAAAAAAAAAUAUUCAAAAAAAUUUAUCUAUAUUUUAUUACAUAUGUAUCGUAAAAAUAAUAUUGUGAAAUCAUUUAACUAAUUUAUUUAAAUAAAAAAUAAUAAAAUCUAUUCAAAAAGUUAUUUUUUAUUAAUUUUUAAAAAGUUCUUAUAUAGAUGAAAGUGCAUAUCAAUUCUUAUAUCAAUAAAAAUAAACUCACAUUUUCUAUUCUAUUCUACAUGAAUUAAUCCAAUCCAAAUUUCACGAAAUUGUCCGAUCAUCUCUUAUUUUUUAUACAUUUGAAAUUAGUUGUAAAAGAAAUUAGACUUUUAACUUUGAUUUUAACAUUAAUAUGUUGAAAGUUUGAUUGAAUACUUUCAAUAUUAAUUGCUGACCGAUGUUAAGAAUUAUUCUUUCAACUACUUCCACUUUAAUCUCGGUUUUCGAAGUUGAAAAGUUAUAAAAAAANNNNNNNNNNNNNNNNNNNNNNNNNNNNNNNNNNNNNNNNNNNNNNNNNNNNNNNNNNNNNNNNNNNNNNNNNNNNNNNNNNNNNNNNNNNNNNNNNNNNNNNNNNNNNNNNNNNNNNNNNNNNNNNNNNNNNNNNNNNNNNNNAUUUUAUUAUUGUAUUAUGGUCAUUGUGUCAUUUCUUAUUCCCCUCUUAACUGCUCUUAAUUUUUUUCCAUUUUAUCCUUACUUAAUAAUUUAUUGUAUUAAUUUAUUUUGGUUAUUUGGACAUUUUAUAAUUUCAAAAAUUAAUAAAAUAAUUUUUUUAAUUUUAACUGGAGAGCGGAGAGAAUGGAGAGAGUGGAGAGAUUGAUUAGUUACUUUUCUGUUUAAAAGAUCUUUAUUAAAUAAAAAAUUAAAGAUAUUUGUAAUAUUUUGUGGACCAGGAGAGUGAAGAUUUGGUACGUUACUUUUCUGAUUUAAACUGAUAUUUUUUUUAUUAAAAUUGAUUUAAGAAACAGAUUUUCUAUUUAAUUAUUUGUUCGGUUGAGUUUGUAGUUUUAAAUAAAUUUUUACUAUUACCAAAUACAUAUAUUUUUAACCAUAAUUAAUAAAAUAUUAAAAAUUAUAAAAAAAUAUUAAAGAAAUAAAAAAUGCGGAUACACAGCCUAUGUUCCCGCUAGUAAUAAUAAUAAUAAUAUUAAUCAUUUAUAUUUUAAAAUAAAUUAAUCCUAAUAUAGAAUCUCAAGUCUGCUGGUAAAAAGUUACGUUUAACAAAAAAAAAAGAGUUGUAAUUUAUAUUAUUACAAAAGUUAAAAAAUAUGUGAACUUUAUAACUGUUAAAAAUAGAAAAAAAAUAUUUUAUUAAAAUAUAAAUCCGUGAAGAAACAGUUUUCUUAUUUAUCCUCUUGUUUUCACUGUGCCCUAGGGCCUGAAUUUCAUUACCACCCCUUGGGGGUUAUUCUCCUUCUCUUUUCCUAUGUACGCACGAACACCUCAGUUUGCGGCACAACCCCAGUAUUAAAUAUUGCACACCGUUGUCACAGAUACCUCCGUUCCGUUGCGCACAUUCCGUAGAGUAACUUCUUCACCCUCGCCCACCGGGUAAAACUCUCAACCUAACAUUUCAUCUUUCACUUUCUUCUUUCUCUAUUUACAAACACAGUGACGUUCGUCUCUUUUCUUGUUUGAGUUUUAAGUUCUUAUUUUUCGCUCAAACUUUUCUCACGUUCUCAUUUUCCCGUUUUUAAGUGAUUAGACAAUUUUAGGGAUUCUUCCGACAUUAGUGUGAUUAAGUUGAUGGGAACCACGAUCAGGGAGCAGUGAGACCUGGGGAAGGGGGUUUAUGGUGGAUUUCUAUUCUGAAAUGUCAUGUUUUUAAUCUACGUAAUCAUGAAUUCGGAUUUCGCAAUAUUUUUUGUUUUUUACUUCAUUUGUAGGAUUGUUUACUGUUCUAGGUUCAGAUUGAUGAAUGCAUAUGUCGGGUGAAGUAUUUAUGUUAUGCUAGGUGUUGUGUUGUCGUCGUUGAUGCUUAGCUUUUGACUAUUGACAGUUAUGUUAUUGAAGGUUUCAUUAUUGGCUUGCCUCAUUUUUAUAGCGUGCUUAUUACUUAAACUUGUAAGUAUAUUAACUAGUGCACUUAUGGAAUGUGUGAUUUUGAAUUUGCAGGUUAUGAGAAUUCGGUGAAAAUGGAUUUGGUGGUUUUGGAGUUUGUGUAGCAAGUGUUUGAAGUUGGUGAAGCAAUGGAUUUGGUGGUACCACAUACAUAGUUUUUCUCAUAUUAACACUUCCUCUGAGAAAGAUUAAUAUAGCACUGGUUCUGCAUUCAAUUUGGUGAGAGUAUAUAAUAUGGCCUGCAAAUUUAACUUAUUUGGUCUGUGUGAUGGGGUUAUUGAUUUUAGAAAACCUAAUCGCACAAGGACUAGAAAGCAUUGGGGCUGCAGCGUGCUUGCUGUUUCAAAAUAUGAAAAUUCUGGUUCGAAAGGUAGUCUGCAACAUUCUGAAAGAUUCUCUAAAUGUGCUUUAAAUGGGGUGGAGUCCUCAGCAAGGGUCAAUACUUCCCUGAAUUUUGAGGACUCAGAGAUUUGUCAUCUCCGUAGGUUGAUUAGAAAUGGGCAAUUGGAGGAAAGUUCUAAGUUUCUUGAGUAUAUGACUAAUAAAGGUAAUAUCCCUGAUGUCAUUGCUUGCACUUCUUUAAUCCGUGGGUUUUGCAAGAUUGGCAGGCCUAAGAAUGCAACUCGAAUCAUGGGAAUUCUGGAGGAGUCUCGAGCUGUUAUUGAUGUAACCUGUUACAAUGUUUUGAUCAGUAGUUAUUGCAAAUUAGGGAACACAGAGGAAGCCUUGCGGAUUUUGGAUCACAUGAGUGUUGCUCCAAAUGCUACUACAUACGAUGCAAUUUUGUGUUGUUUGUGUGAUAGAGGGAAAUUGAAGCAAGCCAUGCAAGUACUUGACAGACAGAUGCAAAGCAAGUGCUACCCAGAUAUAGUUACGUUCACUGUAUUGAUUGAUGCAACUUGUAAAGAAAGUGGAGUUGGUCAGGCAAUGAAACUGUUCAAUGAGAUGAGGAGAAAAGGAUGCAAACCUGAUGUGAUUGCAUAUAAUGUUCUUAUAAAAGGGAUUUGCAAUGAAGGUAGGUUGGAUGAAGCAAUUAGAUUUUUAAACAAAUUACCAUCCUAUGGUUGUCAGCCUGAUGUGAUUUCCCAUAAUAUUGUCUUGCGUAGCUUGUGUAGCCGUGGAAGAUGGAUGGAUGCUAUGAAACUAUUGGCUAACAUGCUUCGUAAAGGGUGUUUCCCCAGUGUUGUUACUUUCAAUAUCUUGAUCAAUUUCUUGUGCCAAAAAGGCUUACUAGGUAAAGCCCUUAAUGUCUUGGAGAUGAUGCCAAAGCAUGGUCAUACUCCUAAUUCCAGAAGUUACAAUCCAUUGAUUCAAGGGUUUUGUAAUGAAAAAGGUAUUGAUAGAGCAAUAGAGUACUUGGAAAUAAUGGUAUCUAGGGGUUGUUACCCAGAUAUAGUGACCUAUAAUAUUUUGCUAACUGCACUAUGCAAAGAUGGGAAGGCAGAUGAUGCAGUUGAGAUACUGAGGCAGCUAUGUUCCAAAGGGUGCUCUCCUUCUCUUGUUACGUAUAAUACAGUGAUUGAUGGGCUUUUGAAGGUUGGAAAAAUCGAGUGUGCCGUGGAACUCUUUGAAGAGAUGAGCAGAAUAGGUCUUAAACCUGAUAUUAUUACUUAUAAUAUAAUCAUUGACGGGCUUCUGAAGAUGGGGAAAGCCAAACUUGCUGUAGAGCUUUUGGAAGAGAUGUGCAGUAAGGUUCUUAAGCCUGAUCCAAUUACUUGCACUUCAGUAGUAGGAGGCCUAAGUCGUGAAGGAAAGGUUCAUGAAGCGAUCAAAUUUUUCCAUUACAUGAAAAGGUUUGGCAUCAGACCAAAUGUAUUCAUUUACAACUCAAUAAUGAUGGGAUUAUGUAAGGCUCAGCAAACCAGUCGUGCCAUAGAUUUUCUGGUCGAUAUGGUGGCAAAAGGAUGUAAACCUACUGAGGCUACAUAUUCUGUUAUUGUAGAAGGCAUUAUAUAUGAAGGGUUGGCCGAUGAAGCUUCGAAGUUGUUGAAUGAAUUGCACACCAGAGGACUUGUCAAGAAAAGUUUGGUUGAAAAAGUCAGAGUCGAGAUGUAGAAGAAAACAGGUUGGUUCAGCUCGGCUACAUGGUUUGGUUAAUUCCCAUUCAGCUCUAUCAAGAACCAAAAUUUUAAUAAAACCAUUUGUGCUAUAUUUCUUUAAAGCACUCGAGAUGUAAGAUAUAACGCAGUUUUACAUUGCACAACUAUGGUCUUUCCUAGUUGUGAAGAUUAUGUUGUCCCCUUAUUUUAGUCAGCACCUAUAAAGUAUAUACACCGAUACGAACACAAACACAAAGAUAUACAGACACAAAGAUAUGACUAAAUUAAAAAUUAUAAGACACGGGACACGACUAUAUAUAGUAAUAUAUUUUGUUAUAUAGAAAAAUCAAAUAGAAACAUUUAUAAAAAUAGUUUAAAAAAGAUGUGCGUAUGUAAACUAUAAUGUUUGACUUUUAUAUUUGUGUAUCUUCAUUAAAAAAUACAAUGUUCAUCAAGAGAUAAGUUAGCAAUAUCAAAAAUUUCAUUGUCAUCCAAUAAAAGGUCAUCUCGUGCAAUAUUUCAUAAUUUAUUUUUCUAUUUGUAAUUUGAGGAGUUUUUUGAGAGAAGAUGAAGAUUACUACAGACAAAUACUAGAUCCUUUGUUUUAGGUGUCAUCUUAUUUCUUUUUAAAGAAUCUAUAAAGGAGUAGGUACUCUAAUUCCUCUCACAACAAGAAGAACAUGGUUGUCCAAGUAGUUUAAGAGCUUUAUUUUGAAGUGUUGGUGCAUGAGCUCCAUGAACAAUCCACCAUGAUUUUGCUUCUAUCCCUUAAAGAGUCAACAUCGACAAAAUCUUCUCUUUCAUCUGAAAAGUUUGCGAACUCUAUAUUUACGUGUCUCCUUACAUCCGCAUCGUCAAAGUACCUCUUAAAACAUUUUUCCUUAACUGAGUAAGUUCCUUAUCUUGAUGUGGGGCAAGUCUUUGUGAAUCUUCAUUUAACCAUUCAUGAUUAUAAUAUCUACAUAAAAAUAUAUAAACAUAAAUUAACAUAAUAUUAUGUACUUAAUAAAAUAUUAUUAUAAAAUAAUUUAAUUAUAUUGUAUUACCUUGGAUUUAAAGAAUGAGCAAGACAAUGAAGAGAUGUGCUACUCUUAGUCCAAUGAUCAAUUAAUAUUAAGUUUACUGCCCUAAAAAAUGAUGAAUGUUUAACUUUUAUCUUUCUUUCAUGUUGUUAUAUCACCUUUCUCACAUUUUCAAUCAUUGAAUCCCACAUUUUGUAUACUAAAUGAAGAGUAGCCAUAUCCGUAUCUGUUUUUGUGAGAACAUCAUAAAUAGGGGAAGUAAAAACAAGUAUGUAAUCAACCUUCAUCCACCAAUUAUCAGUCAAAAAGUUUCUUUCACAAAUUAUGUACUAUCCACAUUAUCCUCUUUGUAAGAAGACCAUUCAUCCUCAAUAACUAUUAUCUCUUGGAGUCCUUUCUUCAAACUUCUAAACCUUUUUAGCAUGACUAUGGUUGAAGCAAAAGAAAGAAACUUUAAUGAGUCGAAGUCAUUAAAUAUUAAUAAUUGGUAGUGUAUGCAUUAAGACCGUGCUCUGAGAAUUGGUAGUGUAUGCAUUCAAUGGAAAACAAAAAAGCAUUAAUAUUGGGCCGUGUGCAAUGAAUAUAAAACAAAAAACAUUAACAUGCUUACCUCUCCAAAGACUUAGUUUCUUAUGUAUUCUUUCUUCUUCCUUUUUUCUUCUCCUUCUUCUGUGAACCUGACACUCAACAACCUUUACCACCACACCACAAUUCUACUCUCCUCGCGUUCCAACUUAGGUUUUUAUAGAGUGCAACUAUUUUGUUCUUUGUUUUUGUAUUUUCUAUAUGAUUUAUAAUAUAUUUUUUUAGAUUAUAAUUUUUUUAAGGAAAAAAUAUAUUAUUUGUUCCUAAUUUCUUCUCUUCUUCUCGUAAAUUAUAAUGAAUUUCCUUUAAAUUUUCAUAUAAUUUUUUAUUAAAAUGAUUUGUUUGAGAUUUUGUGUGGAAAGCGUGUUCAAGGAGUGGAUCGUGUCCUCUCCGACGUGUCCAAGGAGUAGAAUGUGUCUCUCUGGCAUGUCCAGAAACAGGGUUGUGUAUGGCCCACAAAGAUGUGUUCGACACCGUGUCGUGCACUCCUCCGUUGCGUGUCUGUGUCGGUGGUGUGUCGGAAAUGCAAAAAUACACCUUUCUGCCGUGUCCGAGCUUCAUAGGUGAGCACUGGUCAUUCAAUGCAAAUCAUAGAUUUUAAUUUUUGUGGUGGUGAGAUAUCUAAUGAUAAAAUCCUAGUCAAUUUUGUAUGUAGGUAACUGCAAUUUUAUUUCAACAUAUUCAGUCAUUGUUAAAAUAAGUUAUCUUAAAUAAACUUUAUUGAAAGGUUAGUUAUGUGCUUUGUGUUGUACCUAGUUUCUCGGUGAGACAUUUUUUUCCCCUUUCCUUUCAUUCUCAUUGUGUAUAAACUUCUAAUAUCAUUAUAAAUAUGAGAACCAUAGACAGGAAAUUCAAGCUCUCUAUUUCAUUUUUAUUAUUUUGUAUUCAUCUCAAGUUGGUAUCAGAACAGUUCGCUUGUUUUGCGAUUGUCCACUACCUUCCUCUAUCAUCACCAUUGUUGUCGUAUGACAAACAUUGAGUCUAGUUUGUUUCAUUAAGAUAUAUUGAUUCUAUUGUAUUUUAUUGUUGUUUGUCGUUAUCUACCAUUGUUUGUCGUCGUCGGCUGCCGCUUGUCACCUUUCAUCGCCUUCUACUGCCAUCAACAACUGUUGUUGUUUAGUUGGUUGUUGUAAUUUUGUUUAUUGAUGGAUGUCUAUUUCAACAGGCCUUCAUUUAUACAGUGGGUGCAAAUGUCGUUGUUCUCGUUGAACCUUUGAUGUCUAGAAAAAUUCUCUUUAUACGUUGCGAUGAUCAAGUUGACGAAAACAUAAAGUGUUUAGUUUUCUUGUAUCUAUCCUUUGCGUUAUAAAAUCCCCCUUCAUUGUGGGGGUCUGUUUUCUUUUUAUAAUGCCAACCUCACUUCUCUUCGUGAAGUUGUCCUGUCCCUAUUUUCAUGGAGCCGUUAUAAAUUCGUCCACAACUUCCUUGAAGUAUAGUUACUUAGUUGUCUCUUUCUUGGCACAACUAAAUAGAAUAAUAUUCGUCUAACUAAAAAACCCUAAAAUCUAAGCAUUUUAGUAGAAAACGGUUAUACACUAUAUGUUGUUCGGUAUAUUUACCGAAGUGAUACAUCACAUUAUAGUAUAAUAAUAAAUCGAUUACCAAACCAAACUGAACGAACACUACAAAACCCCCUAACCUCUAGUCGAGCGGAGUUGGGCGAAAAGGUUUAUGCAUGUAGACACAAAAAGGCUCUUCGCGCCAAAUGGUGGUUAUUACACACAUCCCAAGCAUAUCUUGACAAGACAUAAGCUUUUCGGGCCAUCAACCAUAAAUGCUCCUUUACACGAGUCUUGCAUUGCAUUGAUUGGUUUAUUCAAAUGGACAUUUUCUCUUCUUUGUUCAUUAGGGAUUUACCAUUUUGACCCGUGAUAGGACAUAAUCUAAUCGAGACCAUCGAUCAUGGUUGUUACUUUACACGUGUCAAACAUCGAUAAGCCUUUGGUCGACCGUUUCAUCUUCUUCUUCUUCGAACGAGUGGUUUCCCACUCUUAUGCUCACUUUUCUUUACUCGAUACUUUUGUUGCCUCCCUACUCCCUUAUCCCUGUCGUGAAACCACCAUUAACCACCGUGUCCUUUAUCCCUUGUUUUUUUUUUCUUUGUUGUGCUUUCAAUGUCUUUCUGUAAUUGGCUUCUUACCGACUUCCAGGUUUAGGCGAUGAUAGAAGAAGUCAGAGUUAAUUCUGGGCAUAUCAGCAAUCAACCACACAAAAGCGUUCAUGUUCAUUUGUAGGACUUCCUUCAAUUUGUUCUCCAACUCCUCGUACAACGUCGCGCCUAGUUUGAAAAUCUUUCCAUUGAUCUCGAUUUCGCUAAUCUCUCCUACUAUCUCGAGUCGCCUUUCAUAAUUGGUCUUCGUCUUUCCCGUGCAAUUUGUAAUUGUAUAUGUUUCGUGCCGGCUUCUCAAGCUAUUUUCAUUACAUUUUCGAGCUAUUUUCUAAUCCACCUUCAUUGUGACGAACUUGCCCUCUGGUGAAGGCAAUUUUAGUUUUAGGUGCGACUUAGACACUGCCACUCCCAAAUUUUUCAACGACGGGCGUCCGAGAAGUAAUUUGUAGGAUGAAGGUUCAUUAAUAAAUAUGUACUUGAUAGUUAGUGGUUGCUACUUCACCAUCUGGGGUGGUGGUGCGUAGCUCCGGGUAUCCACGAACUUCAACCUGAUCUCUUGUAAAAGCGAUAAGGCAUUCAUUGAACGGUCUGAGCUGGUUGGAGGGGAUCUGGAGUCCAGGUAAGAGUUCCAAAACAUUAUUUCAACUAAGUUUCGUUAGUUAAUCAAUACCUAGUGCACUUUGAGCCCCAUCAUGAUAAAUGAUAGCACCACAUGGUCGUCUUGAUGAGAGUAUACAUCCUCCAAAUUUGCAGAAGUAAAACAGAGAGAAGGGACAGUAGGAAAUACCCGAGUUUCCAAAGAUAAAACUGAGCUGGAAUAACGAUUCUGACUCGAUGAAGAGUAGCCCACUCCUGAAAAACCAUCGACUAUAGUGUUAAAAUCACCAAAUAUGGGAGUCUCAUGGUUGUGCUCUCGUGGCUGGUCCUCACCCUUUUGAUCAAUAUUAAGAUCCUGUAGAUAUUUCACCAAAACCCCUUUGUAACCAGCUUGGCGAGCUGAUACUUUAGAGUCAAGCACCUCUCGGUGUCAUGGCCGUGAGCUCGAUGAAACUCACACCAAGUGUCCUUUCUUGCCCCCAAUCUGCGAUCUGUCUUCUUCGAGAAUUGUAGCUUAUUCACAACAUCUUCCUUAAUUAAUAACGACUUGAAUGUUGUGUUGAAGUAAGGUGGGGGCAAGUUGUGCUUGGGUCGUUAUUCUCUCACUUCACUCCUUUUAGCCACGUAGGGAACGUACUUACGUGCUCGCCCUCUAGAGGACGUGUCAAUAUUUUUUGAAUGACAGCAUGUGCUCUCCUUAUACAUUCCUUGUUUUUUUAGCUUGUUGACCCUCUUCCUCCUGAUCGCCUCCUCCACCUUAAUGUGAAUCGUCGCCUGUUCAUGCAUUUCUGCCAUUAACUCAACUCAGUUUUGGAGCAAGGAGUCGCUAAAGGGACUAGCACGAAGUCCUUUCACAAAUGCAUCCACAACCAUCUCUUCGUUCGAGUUCUAUAAGUGUACCAAGACCACAUAAAAAUGGUUAAGGUACUCUUUAAAAGAGUCUCCAUCUCGCUGCCUCACGUCCAAAAGAUUCGCCAGCCUGGGGGGCUCGACCUUGUUGGUCGAGAGCUGCUCCUUGAAUACCUUGGAAAACUCAUGAAAUGACGUAACACUCCCAUCAGGAACCCGCUGAACUAUUGAAGGGUCAUUCCUGUGAGCGUUCCCACAAAUAUUUUGCAGCGCAUUGCGUCCGACCCGCCCUAUUUAGGCUCAUAAGGCUUUUAGGUGUCCUUCUGGGUCCGCCACUCCGGAGAAAGGAGUGAUUUUUUGUGUGAUGAAAUGGGGCGGAAUCAGUUCCUCCAUAAUUGCCCGUGAAAACGCUAGGGGGUUAUCUCUUGCUAACAUGUUGGGAGAACGAGUCCGCGUGUUCCUUCUCACUUGUCUAUGCAUGGUUCUUUGCAACCCCUCAUUUGCUUUUUGUAGCUCUUCAUUCAUCCAAACUAUGUCCUCCAUCAACCUUCUGAAGCGAUCUACCUCUUUCUAAAAUUGAUCUUGAUUAGCUCAAGAUUCAUCACGAUUAGCCCGUGCCUCUUCAUGUAGACGAUCCCACUCCUUUUGAAAUUUCUGAGCUUUUCGCUUCACUUCCUCGUUGUCGUGCUUGAGGGCCUGCAUAGUUUCCAUGAUUUGUUGGAAGAAAGGCUCUUCUUCCUUUUCAUACGUUUGUUGGCGAGCGUCCCCCAUGUCUUUUGGUAACUGGUGUUCUAAAUGUUUUUGUGGUUGACAUGAUUAGUUUUACCUGUCCUACGGGGGACACCAAAUCUUCUUACCAAACCUUUGAUCGAAUGCCUAAAAAAAUUCUCUUUAUACGUUACGAUGAUCAAGUCGAUGAAAACGUUAAAGUGUUUAGUUUUCUUGUAUCUCUCCUUUGCGUUCUAAAAUCCCCCCUUCACCGUGGGGGUCAGUUUUUUUAUAAUUCUAACCCCACUCCUCUUCGUGAAGUUUCCCUAUACCUAUUUUCGUGGAGCCGUUAUAGAUUUGUCUACAACUUUCUUGAAGUAUAGUUACUUAGUCGUCUCUUUCUUGGCACACCUAAAUAGAAUAAUAUCCAUCUAACUAAAAAACCCUAAAAUCUAGGAAUUUUUGUAGAAAGCAGUUAUACGUAUAUGUUGUUCGGUAUAUUUACCAUUGGUUGUCGUCGUCGGUUGCCGCUUGUCGCCUUUUGUCACCUUCUGUGACCAUCAACCGCUGUUGUUGUCUUAGUUGGUUAUUGUAUUUUUUUUUUAUUGAUAGUUGUCUAUUUCAGUAGGCUUUCAUUUAUGCAGUGGGUGCAAAUGUCCUCAAUGCUUCUUUUGUAGGAGAAUUGGCCACAACUCCAAAUAAUUGAUUUUCCUUACAUGGUUUUCCUAACAUGACAACAAACAUCUUUCAAUCUUAUAAGGUUGAACCACAAUUUACUAAUGAGGAAUAUCAGGAAUAUCUCAUGUUAAAAUUUGGUAGCUUAUUAAAAAAGAUAAGCUAAAAAGACACUUGGAUUGAGUCAAAAAUGGCUUGUUGAAAGAAUACUUGGAUUGAGUCAAAAGUGGCUUGCUGAAAGAAUAAUCUUAUGAGGUCAACCAAUUCGAAGGAGUACUCAGUUUAUCUAGGAGUGACUAAGUGUCAAAGAAUAUUCAAUGGGUAGUCACGAGUGUCUAUAAUCCCAAAGAAUACUCAAGGGGUUAGUCAAGAGUGGCUAAGAUCCCAAAUAAUACUCGAUUGUACAUUGCAACAUUAGUUUGCCAAGUGAACCUUAAUAUGUUGAUUGAGAACUGAAUGUCGUUUGCUAUGAAAUAUAAUGUGUAUUUCUUCUCUCCUUAUCUAUUUUACUUUGCAUGUUAUUAUCAUUUGUGUUAAUUCAAGAGAGAGAAUAAUUGUUAAACUAAAUUUGAAAAAUGACUUACUUAAGUAAAUAUGUUAGAAGUUUGAAGUAGUUUCUGAUACUUGUUAUAUAAAACUAUUGUCUAAAUGACCUUUUUCAAACGAUAUCUAUGAAAAUUUUCUUAUGUUUUUUUUCCUAUUUUUCACAAAUAGGAUAAAGAAUCACAAAAUGCAUUAAAAGAUAGUUAACACAUUUGUUCUUGCCUCCUCCUUCAAUUUUAUAAAGAUCACAACUCUUAUCUAUGUUUUUGUCUCAAACAAACAAAAAUAGGUUAAUAUAAACACAACCACAAUAGUCCAAGUAAAUACAACAACAUUGUAAAUACAUUACUGAUACAUAUUUAAAACAAAAUAAACCUAUAUUAAAAAAUUCAAAGAAUGCAUGAAUCACAAAUUGAUUUGAAAGAUAAGAUAGCGAGUAUAAAGAUAUUAUAUGCCUUCUUUUAUAAGAUCAAACUUCUUGACCAUGUUUAUAUAAACAUAAUCACAAAUUGUAGCAAAGCAAAAUAAACUUAUAUUAAAAGAUUCAAAACCUUCAAAGUUCAAAACAAUGUAAGAAUACAAAUUAUAUUCCAACACUGUUGGCACCUAAACUCACAAAAACAUGUUAGUAUAAAAAAGACAACAAAAGUUUCAAUAAGGACAAGGACAAACUAUAUAUGUAUAUAUGCAUCCAAUUCUAAAACAUGUAUAUAUGCACUAAAAAAUUGAUAAAAGUAUGAUAAUGUAAAAAACAACCCAAGAAAAUUGAGUCUCAUGAUAUAAACACUACCACAAUAAAAGCUUACUAAAAUAAUGAAAACAUAAUCAUGCAAGAAUCACACCUUUUUUUCAAACAGGGUUAGCAAUUAGCAAGUCAAUGAUUAUACCUUCAUACAAAUUCUUGUAAAACAAAAUAAACAUAUAGUAGAAGUUUAAGAAGCAUAAAUUAUAUUAUCAGAAAGUUAACACAUUAGCAACUUAAUGAAUAUAGCACCAUACAAAUCUUAGUUAAAAAUAUACUUAUAUUAAAAGAUUUAGAAUCAUCUAACUCCAAAACAAUGCAAGAACCACAAACUAUAUUCAAACACAGUUGACACUUAAACUCACAAAAACAGGUUAGUAUAAAUGAGAUAAAAAAAAUUAUUGUAAAGACAAGAACAACAAUGUAAACAUGUAUACAUGCAUUCAAGUCCAAAACAAUGUAUAUAAUAUGUGCUGGAAAAAUAGAUUUAACCAUUUGCUUCAAUUUUAAAAACAUCUUAAACUCUUACCUUUAUUUCGGUGUCAAACUAAAAAAUCACUGUCUUGGUUUUGUUCAACCUCAAAUAAAAAAAUACCCCAUAACCAAUAUUUUUUUUAAUUAAUGUGUUUUGUUUGAGAUUGAAAGUAAAAGUAUUGAGAAGAUAGAUUUUGAUGAUUUGGUAAACUUACAAGUUGAUUGUGAUUUGAAUAAUUUUUUUUGAAUGUGUUUGAAUGGUAUUAUGAAUAAUUUGAAAUGUAAAAAUUGAUGAAUAGUUGUUUGAAUUUUGUUAUUUGAUUGAAAUUGAUGAUUAAUUAAGUAUAUAGGUUGAUAUAAGAGCUCAAUGAGAGUACCUCUAAUACUCUUAACAAAGUGAUGUUAUUUUGAUAUGAUAGGUUUUAUGAAAUAGAGGUUUGAAUGUAAUUUUUUGGUGAAAAUAUUAAGGGAAUAAGUUUUUAUGAACUUUUAGUAUGUAUUUUUCACUUAAGCGAGUGAUUUUCGUUCAAGUGAAAGAUCCUUGUUCAAGCUAGAAUGAGAUAGUGAAUUUUGGGUUGCUCAUAGACCUAUUUUUCCUCAAGUGAAAAUAAAGUGAAAAAUGAGGUCUUCUCAGGUCAUUUUCGCUGAAGCAAGAAGGAUUCUCGCUCAAGCAAAAAUUGGGUAAAUUUUGGGGUUUUAUCAGGUUUAUUUUCGCUCAAGCGACAGAUUUUUGCUUAGACGAUGCCUAUUUUCUCUCAAGCUAAAAAAAACUAAUUUUUAUUUUUACUUUUAAAAGACUGAUUCAUUUCUAUUUUAUUGUUUUAAUUAAAUUAUAUGUGAAAUUUUAAUUAUAUAUUUAAUUGAAAAUCUUUUAGUUUAUGUAUUUAUGUGUUUUCUUGAAUAAACUUUGAUUUGAUUGAAUUCUAAGUUUUGGUGUGAUUUAAUGGUUUGAUUAGAUGUGAUAUGAGAUAUGAAAAGUGUGAUAGAGACCGUAUUUUCAAGAAAGGAAAUAUCAUGUUGAGAUUGUUAGGAGGUACAUUGACUAGGGAUUCAUCUAGAGGAGGUAUCAUAACUCUCCUGGUAUAUUUGGAAUAAUAUAGAUGAAGAUUAUCAGGUGUUGAUAGUUGAAGGAGAUUCAUAUGAUUUUGUUUGUGGUUUGAAAUACAAUAUGAUCUUGCAGGUAACAUGAAUUAACCCUGUCAUAUGAGGUGAUAUGAUAUUGAGAUUAUUAUGCGUAUAACUGUGUGAAUUUCACGGUGAGGUAGUAUGACAAACGAGAUCUUUGAGUUUAAGUCAUUGCACGAGUCUUUUAGAAGUAGAGUGAAGUGUCUAUGUAUGCUAGUCAGUAGAAGUUUGACAUGAGAAAUAUGAAUUAUGAAUUAUUAUAGACACUAGAUUGCUUUGAAAAAUGUUUGAGAAUUGAUGAAUUGAUGUUUGUUCUUUAAAGUUACAUUUACAUUAGAUGUUUUAAAAAUAACUAGUUUACCAUGUUGUCUAUGUUAUUGUGUUUUGUUUUUAUAUGUGAAGAUCGUGUAUUACACGGGAGCAUAUAAUAUUUUAGGUGAUAGAACUCCACUAUGAGCAGAUGAAGAAUUUUAUUUUAUAUUUUGUUUUAUCAUAUGUAUAUAUUUUAAAUUUCAGGGAUAUACUUUGAAAUACUUUAUACGGAUGGCAAAGUAAGACAAGUAGACCCACAACCCACUAAGAAAAAAUGUGGGACAAGUUGUCUAUUUCAACCCACUGGCCCGCUUAGGCCUGCCCGCAUAAUUCGCAGCCCGCGCGGGCCAAGUGCGGGGUGUGGCUAGUUGACCCGCAUAACCCAUAUAUUUGAAAAUUUUAAACUUUUUCUCUAUAUCCCCAUAAUUUCGUUUUGCAGUCUCAUAUUCUAAACAAUUCUAAAAUUAUGCGUUCCAAAUUCUAUAAUCUAGAAUACAAAUUUAUAUUCUACACUGUGUAAUCUGGAAUAUUUUACAAUUCAGAAUACAAAUUUUAACUUUCAGAUUCUAUAAUCUGGGAAGUCUCUGAAUUCCACAUUCCGAAAUUAAAGAAAAAACAUUCAAUGAAAAAUGUCAAAGGGCAAUUUGAGUACUUUUUGAAGUAUGAGGUGCAAGAAGAAAGACAUAGAGGUUGAGGAAGAAACUACCUCAAUCCAUAAUAUAUUACACAUUCAACAAAUUCGAUAAUGGUUUUUUAACAUUUAAUAAUGAUUUUUUGUCCGUCUAAAAUGCAUAGAUUAUUUAGGUUUAGGUUUCAAUAUUUCAUCAAAUGCUAAAUGCAAUAGUGAGACCUUAAUUUUUUUUUAUAAUAAAAUUUAAAUAUAGUAUUAUUAUUAUAUAUAUAUAUUAUUUUUCAAAUUAGAAUAGUAAUCGUGUGUACAUGUAUCACCUUAAAAAAAGUGUAUAUAUUUAAUAAAUAUUUCAUUAGUGAAUUUAUUGGUAGAUUGAAUUUCAAAUUUCAUUGAAAAUCAGAACAUCAUUAUAAUAUUUAUUACCCAUAUCUUAUUACGCAUAUGUCGUGUGAAUAAUAUCCUGAUUUAUCUAAAUAAUAAAUUUAACUUAAUAAACAAAAAAUAAAUCUAUAUUUAAAAAUUUAGUUUUCAUUGAUUUAAAAAAAAUAUUUCUUAUGUGGGUUGACAGGUAGGUCCGCGGAACAACCCGCAUGUAGGACGUACCAAUAAAAUCAACUCACAUUUUCUAUACAGGAUCCAACCCGCAUUUUAUAGACUAAAUGUGACGCAAAUCUAUGUGGAGUAUUGAGUCAUAUGAGUCAGGAAAUUCUCAAGUACGAUUCUAAGGAAAGGAAUUGACUCACCUAUUUUGAUUAAGGAGAACAAACCAUUCUAUAUGGAGAUUCAGAAGUUGCAGAGUCUUGAUUUAAUCAAACUGCUUAAUAUUGGAGCGGGUUGACCUACAAUACUUCUCUAAUAUUGUAUGACUAAUAUAUAUAUAUAUAUAUAUAUAUAUAUAUUUAAUUAGAUAUAAUUGUGAUUUGGUAUUUAAAUCUCAUAAAUAAGGCGUUACACUUUAAUAAUAAAAAUACAAAUGAGUUUGUGUGAAAAAUCAUAGAGCAAAUCACAAUCUUCGUCUUUGAUCAGAUUUCUCAAUUAAAAAAAAAAAAAAAAGUGUGUAUAACUAAAACUUGAUAAACUUACAACCUAAAAUCUUACCUCUUGGUUUAAGUCUAUGGUGAUAUGAUUCCACUAGCACAAUUAAAAUGAUUCUUGACAUUCUUAGGAAUCAUCUUGAGUUGGAUAUGAGAUAGGCACUUUAUCAUAGAAUUGGAUCAAGGUUCUAUGAACAAGAACUCACCAAAACUAGUACCAAAACCCAAACUCAUAUGGAAGUUCCACAUAUUGUCAAAUUGAACCGAUUGAAAUGGAAGGAAAAGCAAUUGCACCGAACAAAAUGGCAUAAAACUGAAAUGUACCGAACAUAAAAUCUAGAAAAUGAAAAGAAGCAAGAAUGAAUCGGCAGAAAUAUAAAACCGAAAUAGAAACAACAAGAACACCAAAGGAACCGAACAAAAUUUCAAAGGAAACAAGCUAUGGAAUGAACAUAAAAAGAGAAGGAAGGAAGGAGAAGAGAAAGCUCAUGAAGAUGGAGGAAUGGUUGGAUGAUCACGCCACUAGGAGGAUGGAGACUAAGUGUGCAAGUCGCCACUUGAGGUAACCAUUGAACCAUCAAGAUAAGACUAGUGAAGAAGGCACAAAGCUCUCCAAUGUUCUCUCAAAAAUUGAGUAUAGUUUCUCUAAUUAAAAUUCAAAUCUGAAAUGUACAAGGGCAGCACCUUAAUUUAUAGCCUAGAGGUGCUGAAAUGCAAAGCUAAAUGAAUUCAAAAUUCCCCCCUAAAUUCAAAUGCAAGUGGCGCCAACUAUGGUCAUGAAGAAGGUGUGACCUUCUCUCUCACUUUGGCACCUCCCUAGUUACUCCUACACCUAUCUACUAAUGCACCCCCCGUAAUACUCAUAACUAAGGACCUAAAGAUGCUUUAACAAAAGAGGUUUCUAAUGUUUCCCUCUAAGCACCUUCACACAAAGAAAUUACAAAAAGAGAAAAUAAACGUCCAUUAGCUCCUAAAGCUUUGAACAUGCAUCUUGUAAGCCUUUGAGGUGGGCUUUGACCUCAUGGGCGUCCUCCACUUGAGCCUCAACCUCUUCUUGCUCUUGAUGAUUGACCUCCAUGUCCACUUUAGCUUGAUCUCCAUCAUACGCCCCGAGUUGGAGAGAAUUCGACCACGAAUUCUGGAGACCUACAGAAAAAGGAGUUAGAUCACUAAUAUUAAAAGUAUGACUACCUAAGAAUGUAUCAGACAUAUCUAACUCAUAAGCAUUGUCAUUAAUCCUCUUUAGGACUUGGAAAGGUCCAUCCCCUCGAGGCAUUAGUUUGGACUUCCUUUGAGUAGGAAAACGAUCCUUCCUCAAAUGAAGCCAAACCCAAUCGCCCUCAUCAAACAACAAUGCUUUUCUCCUUUUAUUGGCAAGUUCAGCAUACUUGCCAACCUUCUUCUCAAUUCUCUUCUUGAUGUCUUUAUGCAAAGUUUUCACAAAAGAAGUUUUUUCAUCCCCAUCUUUGCACAAGACAUCUCCAAGAAGGGGAAUAGGAAGAAGAUCAAGAGGUGUUAAGGGGUUAAACCCAUAGACAACCUCAAAAGGAGAAUGUGAGGUGGUAGAAUUUACUACACGAUUAUAUGCAAACUCAACAUGGGGUAGUAAAUUCUCCCACACUCUAGGAUUCCCCGAAAUAAAAAUCUCAAUNNNNNNNNNNNNNNNNNNNNNNNNNNNNNNNNNNNNNNNNNNNNNNNNNNNNNNNNNNNNNNNNNNNNNNNNNNNNNNNNNNNNNNNNNNNNNNNNNNNNNNNNNNNNNNNNNNNNNNNNNNNNNNNNNNNNNNNNNNNNNNNNNNNNNNNNNNNNNNNNNNNNNNNNNNNNNNNNNNNNNNNNNNNNNNNNNNNNNNNNNNNNNNNNNNNNNNNNNNNNNNNNNNNNNNNNNNNNNNNNNNNNNNNNNNNNNNNNNNNNNNNNNNNNNNNNNNNNNNNNNNNNNNNNNNNNNNNNNNNNNNNNNNNNNNNNNNNNNNNNNNNNNNNNNNNNNNNNNNNNNNNNNNNNNNNNNNNNNNNNNNNNNNNNNNNNNNNNNNNNNNNNNNNNNNNNNNNNNNNNNNNNNNNNNNNNNNNNNNNNNNNNNNNNNNNNNNNNNNNNNNNNNNNNNNNNNNNNNNNNNNNNNNNNNNNNNNNNNNNNNNNNNNNNNNNNNNNNNNNNNNNNNNNNNNNNNNNNNNNNNNNNNNNNNNNNNNNNNNNNNNNNNNNNNNNNNNNNNNNNNNNNNNNNNNNNNNNNNNNNNNNNNNNNNNNNNNNNNNNNNNNNNNNNNNNNNNNNNNNNNNNNNNNNNNNNNNNNNNNNNNNNNNNNNNNNNNNNNNNNNNNNNNNNNNNNNNNNNNNNNNNNNNNNNNNNNNNNNNNNNNNNNNNNNNNNNNNNNNNNNNNNNNNNNNNNNNNNNNNNNNNNNNNNNNNNNNNNNNNNNNNNNNNNNNNNNNNNNNNNNNNNNNNNNNNNNNNNNNNNNNNNNNNNNNNNNNNNNNNNNNNNCUUAGCAUGCCUCUUGUUAAGCUUGUUUUGGCUUUUCAAAUACUUAAGAGAUUCAUGAUCACUAUGUAUCACAAACUUUUUGGGAAAAAGAUAGUGUUGCCAAGUAAACAAAGCCCUAACAAGUGCAUAUAAUUCUUUAUCAUAAGUGGAAUAAUUGAGAUGACUUCCCUUCAAUUUCUCACUAAAAUAGGCUAUGGGGUGGCCCUCUUGAAGGAGAACAACCCCAAUACCUAUGCUUGAAGCAUCACACUCAAUCUCAAAUGUCUUAGUGAAAUUAGGAAGGGCCAAGAUGGAAGCAUUAGUCAAUUUUUCUUUCAAAGUUUCAAAAGCCUUUUGUUGUGCUUCUCCCCAUUGAAAGACCACAUCCUUUUUCACUAUGUCAUUGAGAGGUGCGGCAAUGGUGCCAAAGUUUGGGACAAAUCUUCUAUAGAAAGAAGCAAGUCCAUGGAAACUUCGGACUUCAUUUAAGGUUUUCGGUGUAGGCCAAUUUUGAAUGGCCAUCACCUUUGCUUUGUCCACAUGGACCCCUUUGCAACUUACAACAAACCCUAGGAAUUCUAUAUGAUCAAGAGCAAACAUACAUUUAGCAAGAUUAGCAUACAAAUGUUCCUUCCUAAGGGUUUCUAAAACUUGCCUAACAUGCAACCUAUGUUCCUCCAAAGAUAAGCUAUAAAUUAGAAUGUCAUCAAAGUAAACAACAACAAACUUACCAAUGAAAGGUCUAAGAACAUGAUGCAUGAGGCGCAUGAAGGUACUUGGUGCAUUAGUUAAACCAAAGGGCAUAACUAACCACUCAUAUAAACCAAAGUUGGUCUUAAAAGCCGUCUUCCAUUCAUCACCCGGUUUGAUACGGAUUUGAUUGUAGCCGCUUUUAAGAUCAAUCUUUGAAAAGAUUUUUGAACCAUGUAAUUCAUCCAACAAAUCAUCUAGUCUAGGUAUGGGAUGCCUAUACUUAAUUGUAAUGUUAUUGAUGGCCCUACAAUCCGAACACAUUCGCCAUGUGCCAUCCUUUUUUGGCACUAAGAUGAUAGGCAUAGCACAAGGACACAUGCUAUCUUGAACCCACCCUUUCUCAAUCAAAGCCUCAACUUGUUGGCGAAUUUCCUUGGUUUCACUUGGAUUGGUCCUAUAUGCUGGACGAUUUGGUAAAGAAGAGCCCGGUAUCAAAUCGUGAUAAACGGAUCGAGCUCUUCAAAGGUGGAAGUCCUNNNNNNNNNNNNNNNNNNNNNNNNNNNNNNNNNNNNNNNNNNNNNNNNNNNNNNNNNNNNNNNNNNNNNNNNNNNNNNNNNNNNNNNNNNNNNNNNNNNNNNNNNNNNNNNNNNNNNNNNNNNNNNNNNNNNNNNNNNNNNNNNNNNNNNNNNNNNNNNNNNNNNNNNNNNNNNNNNNNNNNNNNNNNNNNNNNNNNNNNNNNNNNNNNNNNNNNNNNNNNNNNNNNNNNNNNNNNNNNNNNNNNNNNNNNNNNNNNNNNNNNNNNNNNNNNNNNNNNNNNNNNNNNNNNNNNNNNNNNNNNNNNNNNNNNNNNNNNNNNNNNNNNNNNNNNNNNNNNNNNNNNNNNNNNNNNNNNNNNNNNNNNNNNNNNNNNNNNNNNNNNNNNNNNNNNNNNNNNNNNNNNNNNNNNNNNNNNNNNNNNNNNNNNNNNNNNNNNNNNNNNNNNNNNNNNNCUUUGUAUGAGAGAUAGUAGGCAUUCCAAGCUUUUCUACUACUCUUGUACUAGCCACAUUAGCACAACUACCCCCAUCCACUAUCAAAGAGCAAAUGUUGUUUUGAAUAAGACAUCUUGUAUGGAAAAUAUUUUCCCUUUGACUUUCAUCAAAAGGUUGUGAAACUUGACCAAGAAGUAUUCUCACAACCAACAAAUCCCCUUCAAGUGGACAUUCACUCUCUUCCCCACUAGAUGCACUAGAAUGCAAUGAAUGCUUAGGAGAAUCCGAAUCAUGCUCACUCACUACAAUGCCUUCAUGCAUGUACAUACUUCGUUUAGAAGGGCAAUUAGCAGCUAUGUGACCAUAACCCAUACAUUUAAAACAUUUAGUAUUAGAAGUUCUAGUGGGUGAUUUAGGCCUAGAAGUAGAUGGCUUAGUUUCCUUGGGUUUGAAAGAAGAAUCUUUGGAAGGAAAUUUAGAAAAAGACUUUUUGUUCCUCCAAGACUUGUUGUAGUAACCAUCAUUGGGAGCAUUUUUGAAAGAAUUUUUCUUAGCAAGUUGGGCUUCCACCUUCAUUGCAAGAUGAACUAAAGAACCCAAUGAUGAAUACUCUUGUAACUCAACAAUAUCUUGGAUAUCCUUCCUUAGACCACUCACAAACCUAGCAAUCAUAGCUUCCUCACUUUCUUCUAAUUCAAUUUUAAGCACAAGCGUCUCUAGCUCCUUAUAAUAUUCAUCCACAUUUAGCGUGCCUUGUUGAAACCGUUGGAGUCUCAACAUGAGGUCUUUCCUAAAAUGUGGGGGCACAAAUCUAGCGCGCAUGAGAUCCUUUAAAGAGUUCCAAGAGUCCACGGGAGGACCCUUGUGAUAGAUAAUGUCCUUUACAACACCAUGCCACCAUUUUAUGGCAUAAUCAAUAGGCUCUAAGGUGGCUAGCUUAAGCUUAUGCUCAUNNNNNNNNNNNNNNNNNNNNNNNNNNNNNNNNNNNNNNNNNNNNNNNNNNNNNNNNNNNNNNNNNNNNNNNNNNNNNNNNNNNNNNNNNNNNNNNNNNNNNGGUAGCCUAGCCUUUGCAUCUUGGUAGAAGCCAUUGCCAUAGUGAUGUCUCUCCCCUUGGAGAUGAUGUCUAUGUCCAUGAAAUUGGGGUGGAGUUCUCCUUCUCCUAUGGUCUUCUUCACGGCCAAAAUCAUUUGAAGAAGCUCUUGUUGAAGGUCUAUGUGAAUGAUGCCCAUCAUGGAUAGAAGGAGAUGGCCUAGCUUGUUGCACCUCUAUCUUUUGCAAUUUCUCUUCCAAACGCCUAAUGGUGCGUUGUGCUUCAUGCAAUUCUCCAAGAACCGAAGCUUUGGAAGGAGAAUGUUGCUUGUAAGAUGCAUCACUUGAAAAUCCAGCCAUUUGCAAAUAAAAAACAACAAACACACAAAAACAGCAAACAAGUCAAGAAACAAAAUUAGCAAAAACAGUGAAUUUGGCAAUGAAAUUGCCGAAGUGAAUUUGGCCAGAAAAAAUAGGUCACUCUCAAAGAAAUAAUGUCCUUGCACCAAUCUGAUCUUGAGGUCUUGGAAUCCUCAAAUGAAAUAUGUCAAAGAAAGGCACACCAAUCUCAAAGCCAAUAACAACAAAACCAAUGAAGCAAUAAAGACAAACAAGAAAAAGUAUAAGCAAAGAAAGGCUAGAACAAAAGGAAAACUAGAUGUUUGACAAACUCAAAGAUUAAUGAACAAAAGACAAGCAAGAAAAUUAAAGAACUCAAUGAGAAAGUAGGCACACAAAAGAAUACUUAAAGAAAAGCACUAGAGUAGAUGAAGAAAACAAAAAUUAGCUACUGGAAAAUAUUUUUUAUGCAAACUGUGCUUGAUGUUCACUGAUUUAACUGGAAUGAUAUAGAGCGAACUGGAUUAAGAAAUUUUAACCACACAAACUUCAAGAUCUUAGCUCAAAAAUGGCACUGGAAUCACUUAAAAAAAGUAAGCCAAUUAAUUGAGAUAAAGUUUUCAAAAUCGCUGCCAGAUUACCGUAUUUUUUCGGCAGAAUUGUACACUUUUUGUAUUUUAUUUAUCAUUUUUUGUGUACUUUGAAUUUUUGAGUACUUAUUUUUUCUACUCUUUUCUAUCACUUUGAAUAUCACAAAUCCAGAAUUUUAGAAUUUUCCAGUGAGUAAAUCAAUUGCAAUAAGGAAAAAACAGUAAGCACGUUUUCAGAAAACAGAGGAAUUCCAAUAGGAAUGAAGAACAGAAUUAUGAACUAGCAAAGACAUAAUGAAAAAUGAUGUAUAGGAACUUGUAUAGGUCUAGAAUACAAGCAUGAACUCAAUCUAAAACAGAAAAUGCACAAAGGAUCAAAUAUCAAACUCAUAAAAUUAUAUGACACUAAAGCAAGAAACAACAAAAUCAAUAAAAGUACUACAAGAAGUGAUGACAAUUAUGGAAAAACAAGACUAAGACAAAACUUGUAUGGAUUCAAAAAGGAAAAUACUCAAACAUAUGAUAGGCAAAAGAAUUAAAACAGUAAGCAAACUCAAAUAAGCCUAAAAAACAGAACCGUAAAUUGCAAGAAAUUAAAGAGCUCUUGAAAUAAAAGUGCUACACAACUCAACAAUUAAACAAGAACACACCUAAACUCAUGAUACCACAUGAUAUGAUUCCACUAGCACAAUUAGAAUGAUUCUUGACAUUCUUAGGAAUCAUCUUGAGUUGGAUAUGAGAUAGGCACUUUAUCAUAGAAUUGGAUCAAGGUUCUAUGAACAAGAACUCACCAAAACUAGUACCAAAACCCAAACUCAUAUGGAAGUUCCACAUAUUGUCAAAUUGAACCGAUUGAAAUGGAAGGAAAAGCAAUUGCACCGAACAAAAUGGCAUAAAACUGAAAUGUACCGAACAUAAAAGAUAGAAAAUGAAAAAGAAGCAAGAAUGAAUCGGCAGAAAUAUAAAACCGAAAUAGAAACAACAAGAACACCAAAGGAACCGAACAAAAUUUCAAAGGAAACAAGCUNNNNNNNNNNNNNNNNNNNNNNNNNNNNNNNNNNNNNNNNNNNNNNNNNNNNNNNNNNNNNNNNNNNNNNNNNNNNNNNNNNNNNNNNNNNNNNNNNNNNAGAAGAGAAAGCUCAUGAAGAUGGAGGAAUGGUUGGAUGAUCACGCCACUAGGAGGAUGGAAACUAAGUGUGCAAGCCGCCACUUGAGGUAACCAUUGAACCAUCAAGAUAAGACUAGUGAAGAAGGCACAAAACUCUCCAAUGCUCUCUCAAAAAUUGAGUAUAGUUUCUCUAACUAAAAUUCAAAUCUGAAAUGUACAAGGGCAACACCUUAAUUUAUAGCCUAGAGGUGCUGAAAUGCAAAGCUAAAUGAAUUCAAAAUUCCCCCCUAAAUUCAAAUGCAAGUGGCGCCAACUAUGGUCAUGAAGAAGGUGUGACCUUGUGACCUUCUCUCUCACUUUGGCACCUCCCUAGUUACUCCUACACCUAUCUACUAACGCACCCCCCUAAUACUCCUAACUAAGGACCUAAAGAUGCUUUAACAAAAGAGGUUUCUAAUGUUUCCCUCUAAGCACCUUCACACAAAGAAAUUACAAAAAGAGAAAAUAAACGUCCAUUAGCUCCUAAAGCUUUGAACAUGCUUCUUGUAAGCCUUUGAGGUGGGCUUUGACUGCCAUGGGCGUCCUCCACUUGAGCCUCAACCUCUUCUUGCUCUUGAUGAUUGGCCUCCAUGUCCACUUGAGCUUGAUCUCCAUCAUAUGGCAUCUUGCUUCAGUCUCACACACAAACACGAUUGUCAUCUCUGAUAAAAAAAGUAAGCAUAAUUUUUUUUAAUAAACAGUAAAAAGAACUUAUUGUCAGUACAAAAAUAAACGUUUUUAAUUAUUCAAAAAAACAAAACACUUCUCUCUAUCCUUGAAAGAAACAAAACCAAAUUUCAAUCGAAAACAAAACAAAGCACCACCUUUGAACAAACUUUUCCGUCACAAAAAUGUUAAUAAUUAGAAAAAAGAAACCUUAAUUAAGUCUAUAAAAAAUCAAGCCAUCUCCUGAGUUAGAAAAACAUUUACCCAUGUGCUUAUAAAAGAAGCAAAACCAAACUUUCAAUCGGAUAAAAACAACACACCACAUCUUCUCUCGCUUUCGUCUUCCACACAAUGAAGGCUUGGAGAUUAAGAAAACCUAAUAUCUUCUUAUUUUCUAAUAUCUUCUUAUUUUAAGUUUAUAGUAGAUAUUUUUAAAAUCAAAUAAGCAACACAUUUAUGUGCAAUGUGAGUCUUUGGAGGAAACUUUUCCAUAAAUAUUUUAAAAAAAUAAUCUUCUUUUAAGUUAAGAUCAGUCUAGUUUAAAUUAAUUUUUUUUGAAGCGGUUAGUAGAAAAUAUUUUUUACAAAAUUAUGCACUUAACUAAUAAAAAUGUUUAUUAUUUAUUUAUUCUUAUACUUCUCCUAUAAGUGCUUAUAAAUAAGUUAAUCCAAACAAAUAUUUUGUUUUACCAUAGAAAGUAAGAGAUGAGUAUGUAAAAGGUGCAAGAUCUCAUAGAGUAAUUUAAAAUAUAAUUGAUAUUACACAUUUCAUUAAAAACAACAACAUGCUUUAAGUAAAAAAAAAAAGACAAGAUUUGUAUUUGAAUACGCAAUCUAGGAUUUUAAUUUUAAUAUAUUCAAAAUAAUUUGGAACUUAUUUAAAAAACUUGUUUAACUAAAUUAAAAAUGUUUGAUAAAUUAACUUAUAGCAUAGGCUUCUUGAACUAACAAAUACCUGAUAGCAUUUUCUUUUUAUCAUAUUUAUGCUCAAUAUAUUAAUGCAAGUCCACUUUAUCUUUUGUUUAUAUUAAGAUUAAAAUCUCUUUUCAUUCAUUUAUUUACUCAUGUGUUUCUAUAUUGAUGGGUGUGAUUCAAAAGUAUAUACACAAGUAAAAGAAUAAAUAUAAAUAGUUUUAAUCACUAUAAUUUUAUUUUAAACCAAGGUAUUCAAGAAAAUAACAUCUGUCAAUAAAUGUUUUUGGUAUUUUAAUAUUAUAUUACAUUUAAUUAUUUAUUUUAAUUUCUUAAUAAAAUAUUCAUCUUCGUAUUCUUUUCGCGCGUCGUAACACCCCUCCGUCGUAGAACCUCACUGCAGCCUCCGUCGUAGAAGAACUGAAAAACCCUUCACGCGCUACCGAUGUAACUACGCGCUUCCACGUUACAUUUCAUCUAUCUCUAUCUCUAUUCACGAGCACAAUGGGUUCGCAUCUUUUCUCCACAUAAUUAUUAUUAGUUCUUAUUUUUCACUGCGCCUCUUUCUCUCUUUCUCAAUAUUCCUGUUUUUAAGUGAUUGGAGAAGGUUUAGGGAUUUUUUUUUUCACGAGUGUGAUUGAGUUGAUGUGCACAAUGGUGAGGGCAGAGUGAGACUUGGGCAAGGGGAAUCGAUAUUGUCUGCUAUAGAAACAGGGAUUAGCCUAAGUUUAUGUUUCUGAAAUAUUGAGGUUUUCUUCUACAAAGUCAUGAAUUUGGAUUUCUCUAAAUAACUUUAUAUAUUUUUUACUGGAUUUUUUGGAUUGUUUACUGUUAGAGGUUCGGAUUUGAUAAAUGACUAGGUUCCAUUGUUGACUUGCCUCGUUUUUAAUUUUUUUAUUGCAUGCUUAGCCUUUAGUAUAUUAACUUUGCAAUUAUGAAAUGUGUGAUUUCAGCCUUUUCAGGUUAUGAUAGUUGGUGAAAAUGGAAUUGGUGGCAUUGGAGUUUGGAUACGAAGUGUUGUAGGUUGGCGAAGCGAUGGACUUGGUGAUACCCAAUAUACAGUUUUGCUCAUAUAAACACUUCCACUGAGAGAGCUAUAACAUUGGCUCUUCAUUCAAUUCGGUGAGAGUAUGUAAUAUGGCCUGCAAAUCUGAACUAUUUGUUCUGCUUGGUGAUAUUAGGGCUAUUGACAUUAGAAAACCUAAUGGCACCUGCUCUAGAAAGCAUUUGGGCAAUUGCUUGUUUGCUGUUUCCAAAUAUGAAAAUUGUGGUUUGAAAGGUAAUCUGCAACAUUUUGAAAGAUUCCGAAAAGGUGCUUUAAAUGGGAUGGAAUCCUCCCCAGAUGGGGUCAAUUCUUCCCUGAGUUUUGAGGAUUCUGAGAAUGAUCAUCUCCGCAUGUUGGUUAAAAAUGGGGAAUUGGAAGAAGGUUCUAAGUUUCUUGAGUAUAUGACUAACAAAGGCAGUAUGCCUGAUGUCAUUGCUUGCACUACUUUAAUUCAUGAGUUUUGUAAGAUUGGAAGGACUAAGAAGGCAACUCAAAUAAUGGGAAUUCUGGACGAGUCUGGAGCAGUUAUUGAUGUAACAACGUACAAUUUUCUGAUUGGUGGUUAUUGCAAAUCAGGGGAGAUAAAGGAAGCCUUGCGGGUUUUGGAUCGGAUGAGUGUUGCUCCAAAUGCUGAUACUUAUGAUACAAUUUUUCAUAGCUUGUGUGAUAGAAUGAAAUUGAAGCAGGCCAUGGAAGUACCUGACAUAGAGCUGCAAAGCAAGUGUUACCCAGAUGUAGUUACAUACACUGAAUUGAUUGAUGCAACCUGUAAAGAAAAUGGUGUUGGUCAGUCAAUGAAGCUGUUAAUUGAGAUGAUGAGCAAAGGAUGCAAACCUAAUGUGGUUACAUACAAUGUUCUUAUAAAAGGGAUAUGCAAUGAAGGUAGGCUGGAUGAAGCAAUUAGAUUUUUAAACAAAUUGCGAUCCUAUGGUUGUAAUCCUGAUGUGAUUUCUCAUACUAUUAUCUUGCAUAGCUUGUGUAGUGGUGGAAGAUGGAUGGAUGCUAUGAAACUAUUGGCUAGCAUGCUUCGUAAAGGAUGUUCCCCAAGUGUUGUUACUUUCAAUAUCUUGAUUAAAUUCUUUUGCCAGAAAGGCUUACUAGGUAAAGCCCUCAAUGUCUUGGAGAUGAUGCCAAAGCAUGGUUGUACACCUAAUUCCAGAAGUUACAAUCCAUUGAUUGAAGGGUUUUGUAACGAGAAAAGUGUUGAUAGAGCAAUUGAGUACUUAGAAAUAAUGGUAUCCAGGGGAUGUUACCCAGAUAUAGUGACCUAUAAUAUUUUGCUAACUGCAUUAUGCAAAGAUGGGAAGGUGGAUGAUGCUGUUGAGAUACUGAACCAACUAAGUUUCGAGGGAUUCCUUUCUUCUUUAAUAACUUACAAUAUAGUGAUCGAUAGGCUUUUGACAGUUGGAAAAACAGAGCCUGCUGUGGAACUCUUUGAAGAGAUGAGCAGAAAAGGUCUUGAACCUGAUAUAGUUACUUACAGUACAAUCAUUGAUGGGCUUUUAAAGGUGGGAAAAACUGAACAUGGUCUAGAACUGUUGGAAGAGAUGUGCAGUAAGGGUAUGAAGCCUAAUCUAAUUACUUUCACAUCAGUAGUAGGUGGGCUCAGUCGUAAAGGAAAGGUUCAUGAAGCCAUAAUUUUUUUUAAUUAUCUGGAAGGAUUAGGUAUUACACCCAAUGCAUUCAUUUAUAACUCAAUAAUGAUGGGACUAUGUAAAACUCAGCAAACCAGCCGUGCCAUUGAUUUUCUUGCUUAUAUGGUAGCAAAUGGAUGUAAACCUACUGAAUCUACCUAUAAUAUUCUUGUAAAAGGCAUUAGUUGUGAAGGAUUUCCUGAGGAGGCUUCCAAGUUAUGGAAUGAAUUGUACUCCAAAGGACUUGUAAAGAGAAGUUUGGUAGAAAAAAACACAGUCAAGAUGCAGAAGAAAACAUCAAUGGCAACAGCAAAAUCUACCCAUUAAGUUGUGUUGCUUGGGUUACUGGCUACAUGGUUUGGUCGAUCCCUCUUCAGUUCUGCAGUACCAAACUAUCAAUAAAAUCAUCUUUGAAUUGUGAUAUAUAUAUAUAUAUAUAUAUAUAUAUAUAUAUAUAUAUAUAUAUAUAUAUAUAGGAAGCAAUCUAUAUGUAGGAUGCAAUGCACUACUAAAUAGCUCUUCCCAUUUAUGCACUUAGAUUUAGUUGUCCUUCUGUCUUAGUGUCCUCUGCUCACUUGGUCCAGAUUAUAGAUUUUUAACUUGUAGGAAGAGUAGAUGAUGAAUUUUAAGUAGAUUUGGUUGAAUUUUUUCUUAUGGUGAAACGAAAAAGACUAGGCCAAUUUGGUUACUUCCCCCUCCCAAAAAAAUGAAACUUAGCUUUCCCUAGUUCUAUACAAAAAAUAAAAAAUCUUGGAGCUCAAAUAUGAUUUGAUUGAGAUAAAAUUCUGACCUAUUUGUGUCAGCAAAUUAAGUUAUAUGGUGUACUCAGAUAUUGUACAUAUUAAUACUAUUCUGGUUGUUUUCUUUUAAUUAUAAUUUGUGUUCCAUCAAUUUUUUAGACAGUUUGCCAGCCAAGUAACAUCUAAGGAUGAUGCUACUUCUGUUCUCUGUUUAUUUAUCUCCAGCAACAAACAAAAGUUUGGCAUGUAAAAGUUUAAAGAACAAUUAUAAUUUGUGUCACCACUUAAAUAUGUCAUAUUCCUACUUUCUUAGAUUUCUGGUGAAUAGCAGUUUUGAAUAAGCAGACUGGUGUAGGAUGUCUGUUGGUAGGUAUGCUUUGUAUGUUAUCAGUCGUGCUACAUUGCUUCUGAUAUCAUCGGUUGUAUGUUUGUUAGCUGUUUUGCUGCUUGUUUAUUACCUCAAAUAUGAGGCGUGAUCCUUUUAUAUAUAGUAUGUUUUUAAGACAAAAUUCACCCUACCUACUGCUUUUGGCGAUAUCAUUGUUCUUCUCAUUUGAAGUGCAAAACGGGCUUGCUUGUGUAACUAAAAGGACCUAGUUCUAUGUGAAUUGUGAGGUUGGGAUAGAGUGUUUGUGUUGCUUUCAUUUAUUAUUAUGUGUUUUCUGAAGUUGAAUCUGUAGUUUUGAGGCACUUGAUGCAAUAUGUUGUAUGCUCACUUAAUCAAAAUAUUUAAAAUUUGAACAUAUAAUGGCCUGACCAUUUAACAUCAAAGUAAUAUUUGCUGCUUUCAAGAUUGCUAUGGGUUAUGCUAGAUUUGCUAUGCAUGUCUUUGCUAGCAAAAUUAUAUUUGAUUGUGUCAAUCUAGAUAUUUUGAUGUUUAUUAUAAUUUUUCUGAUAAAUGAUGACAGUGUAUCUUUUAUGUUUAAAGGUCGAUCACAAGGGGAAAAUUAAUUUGCUUUUAAGUGCCCAGUAAAAUCCAUCUUGUUCAUCUCAUGUUGCCAGACUCGGUUCUUUUAUUUUUCUCUGAAUGUAUCUAACACCAGUGACAGAUGAAAGAUUCUCAACUCCAUAUGUUCUUUUGUCACCUUCAUACAAAACGUGAAAAUAUCUUUUUAUCCUUCUUGUGUUACCUCCAUAGAGUAGUUUUCGGAUUAUGUAAUCCGGCCAUGCAUUUGAAAAAAGAUUUCUGGAUUACAUAAUUCAGAAACUAAAAAAGGCUUCUGGAUUAUAUAAUUUGGACUAAUCAUGCAUCUGAAAAGAAGGCUUCCGGAUUAUGUAAUCUGGAAACUAAUUACGAAUUUAAAAAAAAAAUUUCGGAUUAUGUAAUCCAGAAUAUUACAAAGAGAUAUUUUUGGAAAUAUGAAAAUUUAUAGAGGUGAGAGAAGAAAAUAUGGAGAUACAGGAUAGUCGAGAUGAAAUUGUUGUAGCCCGUCCGGUAUAACUGAACCAUUUAAUGUACUGAACUUUAGAUAUAUUGGGUGAUAACUUUUUCUUCCUUCACCACCUUCGUAGAUUCUUCCAGCAUCUAUAGUUCUUAAACUACCAAAAUUAGCUUAUAUUCUAUUGAAGAUUUUUCAGGAAAUACUUUCAUUCUAUAAUUCGACAUAUUUUGUAAAAAAUAAUAAUUCUGAAUUAUAGAAUUCAAAAGAUAUUUCUAGAUUUAGAAAUACUUUCUAUAAUCUACGAUCUAAAAUAUAUUUUUUAAAGAUUAAAUAAUCUUUUCGUCUAAUAUAGGAGGUUUCUUAAGAAACUAUGGAUUUGGUCGGUCUAAUUUGUCAUACCAAUUUUUUUUUUAAGAGAAAUGUUAUUCAUAUAAUAAUUUAUACAUUCUUAUAGUUAAGGGAGAAAGAAAAAAAAAAAAACAAAGAAAGUCAUACAAAAUGUUGUACGCAUAAAAUCUCUUUAAUUGGUUAAACUUACUCUACAGUAAAAACAUGCCUCAAAUUGUAUGAGCUGUUGCAUGAAUAACACAUCCCUUGAAGAGUUUAGAAACCAUUGGACAUUUGUGUCACAUGCAGACACAUAAAUUAAGUUGUGUACGUGUUUUUAUUGUGCGUCCAUUAAAAGAAGCAUUAGUGAUAAAUGAGGAUCAAGAGUAUUGAAUCGACUUAAUUUAAGUUUAUUUUUUUAAAAUUUCAUUAAAACAUUAUAAAUAAGUUGAGAUUUAUAAAGAUGGAUUCUUAAUUCAUUACUCAUAAUUUAUCAUGCAUAUCUUUCAUCUUGCUGACUUGAGUAAACCACCUCGACAACUGCAGAAGUUUCAGCAGAUGGCAACAAAUAUCAACCUAAGGAGCACGAGGAUGAGCAGAGAUUAAGGCAAGGAAUACCUGUCAGUUUUAUAAGGAGAUCUCUUCUUUAUUAUGAACAAUAAUAAUGAAUACCAGUGUUGAAAUAUAAUUCAAUAUAUAGUCCUUAAAUGUAUCCAUCAUUUAUAAAAACCAAGCUGUGAUUUAAAUUUAAAUAUAUAAAUCUAUAUAAAAUUUACUCGGAUAUAUAGAGACCAUUAAAUCUCUUGAAUGGUCAAAAUUACAACACACAAAGUCAUUGGAAUUUGUUUUCUCAGGAUCACACUGCAAUUAGUCGAAGACUAUACAGAAGUUUUAUUCCUUCAAAGUGAAAAUAACAUAGACACCAUCAUUUUUAUCUUAGCUCUUUACUCCAUUGUCCAUUUUUAAUGAGUAUGGGUGUUAGUUACACUUUACCAUUUCAUGAGCCUAUUACCAUUUUGAUAAUCUAAAUUAACUUUUAUUGUUUAUUCUUUGUGUUCUUACAAAAUAUUCUUACAGGGACGAAACUCUCUUCAUUGUCGUUUAUUUUUUGUUUUUUUUUUCUUCUAUCUUGUUGUCCUUUCAAUCUUUUCAGCAGGCCUAUAUGCAAUGUUACCCUGACAAUUGAUCGAUAAGUGUCUAAUUUCAAUAAUAUUUCAUAUUAAAAUAUAAGCACUUAUGAGGAUUUAUUCUUAAUUUUUAUAUAAAAUAAUCUCUAAUUAAUGAAUUUAUAUCUUUUUAUAUUUUUUAUGAUAUUUAUUUGAAUAAGAGCAUUUUAUUCCAACAUUUGGUGUUAAUUGCAGGUUUAUAGGGAAGAUUGAAGAUUUGGAAUAAAGGAGAAUAAUUUGAGCUAAAAAGAGAAAGUUGGACUGUCCCAAAAUAGAGAAAAGCACCGAAAAGCCAAUUUUGCAACAAGAGUAUCUCGCUCAGGUGAGAAUACUUCAAGAUAGUUUUUAGAAAUUGACACCUUUCUUGCUCAAGAGAGAAUUCCUUGCUCGAGAGAAUGCAUCAGACAAAUUGGGUUGAUCAUCGCGACAUAGGAAACAACCUAACCCUAGAAAAAUAGGUUAAAUAAGGGGUUAGAGGCUCAACCUUAGGGUACCAGAUUGAGGGGAAAACACCACCAUAGAGUGAAUUGUAAUCCAAUUGAGAGAAUGAAAGAUGUUAGAAGUAUGCAUGACUAAUUCUACCCUUUGAGAUUGAAAGUAAUAUGCUUGAACUCUUAUGUAUUGAGAUGAUAUUUAUAUAUUAUAAUAUUCAGUUUUUGAUUGAUUAUUGGUAUUGUUGUUUUGUUUCUAAAUUUUUGUGACAAAUUAAGAAUCUUAAAUCUGACUGGAAAGUAUUUUUAGGGUUCUGAUAUAAACAAUAAUACUUAACAUAUUUGAGUGCUAGGAAUAGACUUGAAAUGUUAAUUUAUAUUAACGUCUGAACAUGAAACUUAAUCCCUAUUUUUUCAACGUGAAACAACUAAUUAUUUGUCUGUUUUCUUAUUGAUCAUUACCAACACAAUCACUUCAACACUCUUUUUAAUUGUUCUAUUUUAUGUUUAGCGAUUAUACUCGAUAAUUCACUGUUUUGAGAUCAAUAUUCGUUCUUAGGGACAAUUAUUACUUCUGUUAACGUAGUGUAUUUUGCCAACAAUCAAAGUGUCACGUGUUUAGGAUUUCAUUGUCUUGUUUAUGAGGAGGAAUGUCUAUUUAUAGUUACAGUUAUGGAUCUGGACUUUAUGUUCAAUGGAGUCCAAUUUGUUUGAUAAUUGUUUGUACGAUUAUCCUGUAAUGUUUGCUUAAUGAUGUUGUUAAUUAAUUUGUGGGAUGCGAGAUGGGAUAAAGAGAGAAACUGAUUAGUCAAUCCGGGUGUUCGAAAUCUAGGUAGUACAAUAUGUAAUGCAAAUAUUUGACAUGGAUCUUUGAAUAGAGGAAACAGUCGGAACUUACCGUCCAGGAAACCUGGGCCACAUAUUGAAAUGUUGGGACUAAUGAAUGGUUCACUAUCCCACAGGAGUUUAAAAUGGAAAUGCAAGCCAUACAUAUUCAUACGAACAUAACAUGAUAAUUUCGUAAACGUCGCAAUUCUGUAAUGGCCACUACGAUUAAGGGACAACUUGUGUCUCCUGCAAAUAUUCUCUUCACAAACCUACUCUAGAUCUUUGCCCCACUCUGGAUUGGAGCUACAAUAAUAAUAAUCAUCACACUUAAUAGAACAUAGUUGCAUGAAUGCCCUUUUCAGAAAUGAUUCACACUAUUCUCUGUCCUCUAUUAUUAACCCAUGAUUGAAUCUGGGAAAUUAUCUGUUUCGGGUCGACUAUUUUUUUCACUUCCUCAUUCAUCACCUAACUCUCCUGCCCCCACCAUGUUUUACUCCAUCAAUGAAAGCCUUACUGUACCAUUAGAUUCUCUUUACAUACAACUAAUCAAUCCAAAACGACAAAUUUUUAUAUUCUUCCACUUUCAUUUCAGGCCUUAACUUCUUACACUUCCAAAAGUUGACCAUGCAUUCGUUUCUACGUUCCGAAACGUCAAAAGGAGUGAUUUUUUGGGCGUAUAAAAGUAUUAUUAUAUUAAGAAGUGAACCUAAUUCAAUAUCAUAAAACCAGCUUAUAAGGUGAGGUUUAUAUCCAUUUAUAUACAAUGAAAUGUCCUCAUCUCUAAGCGAUGAUGUGGACUCUUCAACAUACCCUCACGUUGAGAGUGACAGUUCGUGCGUGAGACGACAUAUUAUGAGUGGUUCAAUAACGGUUCGAUAGCAAGUGACCGGAUAAACCCACCCAACAUUCGUUAUUAUAGACUCGAAAUGGUUCUAAUAUCAUAUUAAAAAGUGAUAUUUAAACCUAACUCAACCUCAUAAAAACGACUUAUGAGAUGAAGUUUGUACCCACUUAUAUACAAUGAAACGUCAUAAUCUCUAGUCGAUGUUGAAUCUCCAACAUAUUCUUUUAUCAUCAUCUGAUCACUGUUUAGAAAAAAAAACUUCAAUUAAUGGGUCUAUACUUUUACUUUGCUUUUCAAUUAUUCUGAGGAUUUUAAAAUGACUGUUUUCUUAUUUGGUGAAUUAUAAUAUUCUCUGCCACUCACCUAAAAUCACUAGCACAAGAAAAAAAGUAGAGAAUAAGAAAGGCAUCGUAAAAGCCUUUGAUACUGAUUUUUCGUACUUUCGUUCCAUGAAGCAUUCUCAAGCUCAUGGAGAAAGGUUGUUCAUCAUCUCCUAGAACAGGGUUGCUUUCGUGUUGGGGGUGUCUCAAAGUGAAGCUUCCAUGGAGAAUAAAGAGAAAAUGUUCUUACAAACCCGUUGGUGGUUUCGGGUAUGACCCUUUAAGCUACGCUCAAAACUUCGAUGAGGGUUGCAUGGACGACGAAGAAGAAUCUUCACAUCGCAGAUUCUCAGCUCGAUAUGCUGCUCCCACAACUUCAACCAAAACUCUCAACUAAGGAUAAGCUUUUCAAGCUUUCAAGGUACGCUAAUAUGUAAUUAACUAUAAUGUACUAAUCUUGUUUAAGCAAAUUAUUUGGUUUAUGCAGUCUUGUGGCUUUUUUAUCCAACAACUUCCAGAGAGUUUGGUUAUUCGUUGGAAUAACCAGAAGCUUUUGUUACCUUACUAUUUGUUUAGCACUCUCAAUGGUUAUUUGUACUAUGUAGUGAAACUAUAUGUAUAUAUAUUUAUUCCUAGUUUAACACUGUGAAACUGUUGGUUCUACCAGAUGAGGGGAUUUUCCUGUUUCAACAGAAAACUACUACAGGAUCAGAUUGAUGAGAGUCAUUCAUUUUCAUUAUUUAUUGAUUUUUUUUUUUAUGCAUUGCUGAGUAAAAGUCUUUCAUUUCAUCCAUUGAUACUGCAUUUUGAGCUAGCCACCCAAAACAAGAUGACUCUAGUAAACAAGAGCAUUUUUUUUUAAUAUUUUGCAGCUCCUGAAAAGCUAAAUUGUUGCAGUGCAUACUGACAAGUUUUUGAAAGUUUAUUAUUAGGUAAAAAAGAGAAGUGAUAUAUUGAUUAGUACCAGUCUAUAACUUGAUUUUUCUGUUUAAAACUUGUACCAGUUAAAAAAAUAAUAAAAAUAACCUUCUUUAUAUCAUUAAUCAGAGGUUAUAUAUUGAAACAGGUUGUGAAAGUAUUAGGUAAAAAAUUAUAGUUAAUUGUUAAUAGCAUAAACCUGUUUAUUUAAGAGUGUGUAUAGCACUAUAAAUACUAGUUAGGUUAAAUAUAAAUGAGAAAUCAUAAAUAAGUAAUAAAGAAUAUAUAAAGAAGAAGAACAUUAAAUUGAUAAGGCAUAGCUUGAUUUUUUUAUAUAAAUUUAUUCCUAAUCUAAUGACUUAGAAUUUUUCCAAACACUCGUAUUUAAGGAAUUUAAUAUUAAAAUAUUAAUUAAGUGUUGAAAGAGGGUAAAAUUUAGAAUAGUUCUAAAAGAAUGAAACUCUGUGUUGUAGUUUAAUUUUGUUAUAGGGAUCAAGUUAUAUGAAUGAGUGAAGCAUGCAUUGAACUUUUUUAUGAUGUAAGAAUGUAGUUUCUUUACAUGGAUAAAAUAUAGAGUGUCAAAACUUUUUUACAA